UGUUUUUUUUGUAGUGAUGGGAGAAGUCUUGCUAUUAGUAGUCAUGUGAAUUUGGUAUUUGUUCGAUAUUUUGAUGAGAUGUAUGUUGUCUCUCCUCUAGUGGUGUUAUGUGAACGUCGACUACAUAACACUUCACCAUUAUUUGGGCCUAGAGGAAGGCAUUGGGAAGUAAUAAGUAGAUGAUGGGUUGCUAGAGUGACAGAAGCUUAAACCCUAGUUUAUGCGUUGCUUCGUAAGGGGAUGAUUUGAAUCCAUAUGUUUCAUGCUAUGGUUAGGUUUCCUUAAUACUUUUGUUAUAGUUGCGGAUGCUUGUAGUAGAGGUUAAUCAUAAGUGGGAUGCUUUUCCAAGUAAGGACAGUACCCAAGCACCAUUCCACCCACAUACCAAAUUAUCAAAGUACCGAACGUGAAUCAUAUGAACGUGAUGAAAACUAGUUUGACGAUAUUCCCAUGUGUCCUCGAGAGCGCUUCUCUAUAUAAGAGAGUUUGUCCAGGCUUGUCCUUUGCUACAAAAAGGAUUGGGCCACCUUGCUGCACUUUAUUUACUUUUGUUACUUGUUGCUUGCUACAAAUUAUCCUAUCACAAAACUAUCUGUUACCACUUAUUUCAAUACUUGCAGAGAAUACCUUGCUGGAAACCGCUUAUCAUUUCCUUCUUCUCCUCGUUGGGUUCGACAGUAUUACUUAUCGAAAGGACUACGAUAGAUCCCCUAUACUUGUGGGUCAUCAAGACUCUUUUCUGACGCCAUUGCUGGGGAGUGAAGUGCCUUUGGUAGGUGGAAUUUGGUAAGGAAAAAUUUAUAUGGUGUGCUGAAAUUUAUUGUCACUUGUUACUAUGGAAAGUAAUCCUCUAAGGGGCUUGUUCGGGGGUAUCUUCACCCCGACCAGUAGAGCAAAGAGUUGCUCCUCAACCUACUGAACCUACUGAAAAUGAAAAUGUCUGCUUUGAAAUUCCUUCGGGUAUGAUAGAAAAACUGCUAGCUAAUCCUUUUGCAGGAGAUGGAACAAAGCACCCUGAUGAGCACCUAAUAUAUGUGGAUGAAGUUUGUGGAUUAUUUAAGCUUGAAGGUGUACCCGGAGAUGUUGUUAAGAAGAAGGUCUUCCCUUUAUCUUUGAAGGAAGAUGCAUUGACAUGGUAUAGGCUAUGUGAUGAUACGGGGUCAUGGAACUACAAACGAUUGAAAUUGGAAUUUCAUCAGAAGUUUUAUCCUAUGCAUCUUGUUCAUCAUGAUCGCAAUUAUAUAUAUAAUUUUUGGCCUCAUGAAGGAGAAAGCAUCGCUCAAGCUUGGGGGAGGCUUAAAUCAAUGUUAUAUUCAUGCCCCAAUCAUGAGCUCUCAAGAGAAAUGAUUAUUCAAAAUUUAUAUACUCGGCUUUUUGAUAACAAUCGCACCAUGCUCGAUACUUCUUGUGUUGGCUCUUUUAUGACGAAGACUAUUGAAUUCAAAUGGGAUUUAUUGGAAAGAAUUAAAUGCAACUCUGAAGAUUAGGACCUCGACAAAGGUAAGGAGUCAGGUAUGACACCUAAGUUUGAUUGUGUUAAAUCUUUUAUGGAUACCGAUGUUUUCCGUAAAUUUAGCACUAAAUAUGGACUUGACUCUGAAAUAGUAGCUUCUUUCUGUGAAUCUUUUGCUACUCAUGUUGAUCUCUCUAGGGAGAAGUGGUUUAAAUAUCACCCUUCCAUACAAGUAAAAGUAGCUGCACCAAUUAAAAUUGAAGAAAAGACUAUCACUUAUAAUGAUCCUGUUGUUCCUACUGCUUAUGUUGAGAAACCACCUUUUCCUAUUAGGAUAAAGGAUCAUGCUAAAGCUUCAACUGUGGAUCGUAAAAGAAAUAUUAAAACUUAUACACCUCCUGAGAAAAUUAAAGUUGAACCUGAUAUUGCUAUUGUUAAAGAUCUCUUGUCUAAUAAAAUUGAUGGGCAUGUUAUUCAUUUCCUUGAUGAGACUGCUAGAUUUGCUAAACCCUGUGCAAAAGAUAAAAACAAACAUGUGGUAGGCAUGUCUGUUAUUUAUGUUAAAAUAGGAGAUCAUUGUUAUCAUGGCUUAUGUGAUAUGGGUGCUAGUGCUAGUGCAAUACCUUACGACUUAUACAAAGAAAAUAUGCAUGAUAUUGCACCUGCUGAGAUAGAAGAUAUUGAUGUCACAAUUAAACUUGCCAAUAAAGAUACUAUUUCACCAAUGGGAAUUGUUAGAGAUGUUGAAGUCUUGUGUGGGAAAACUAAAUAUCCUGCUGAUUUUCUUGUUCUUGGUUCCCCACAAGAUAGCUUUUGUCCCAUUAUAUUUGGUAGACCAUUCUUAAACACUAUUAAUGCUGGGAUAGAUUGCAAAAGGAUGUUGUUACUAUCGGUUUAGAUGAUAUGUCUCAUGAAUUUAAUUUCUCUAAAUUUAGUAGACAACGCCGUGAAGAAGAAUUACCUAGUAAGGAUGAAAUUAUUGGUCUUGCUUCUAUUGUUGUACCUCCUAGUGAUCCUUUAGAACAAUAUUUACUAGACCAUGAAAAUGAUAUGUUUAUGAAUGAAAGAAGGGAAAUAGAUGAAGUAUUCUUUAAAUAGGAACCUAUUCUGAAACACAAUUUGCCUGUUGAAAUCCUAGGGGACCCUCCUCCACCCAAGGGUGAUCCCGUGUUUGAGCUUAAACUGUUGCCUGAUACUCUUAAAUAUGCUUAUCUUGAUGAGAAAAAGAUAUAUCAUGUUAUUAUUAGUGCUAACCUUUCAGAGCAUGAGGAAGCGAGAUUAUUGGAAACUUUGAAGAAGCACCGUGCUGCUAUUGGGUAUACUCUUGAUGAUCUUAAGGGCAUUAGUCCCACUCUAUGUCAACAUAAAAUAAAUUUGGAAACCAGUUCAUGAUCAUCAACGGCGGCUGAAUCCUAAAAUGAAAGAAGUGGUAAGAAAGGAAAUACUAAAGCUCCUUGAGGCAGGUAUGAUCUAUCCCGUUGCUGAUAGUUAGUGGGUAAGUCCUUUCCAUUGUGUCCCUAAGAAGGGAGGUAUUACUGUCGUUCCUAAUGACAAAGAUGAAUUGAUUCCUCAAAGAAUUAUUACAGGUUAUAGGAUGGUAAUUGAUUUCCGCAAAUUAAAUAAGGCCACUAAAAAGGAUCGUUACCCCUUACCUUUUAUCGAUCAAAUGCUAGAACUAUUAUCCAAACAUACACAUUUUUGUUUUCUAGAUGGUUAUUAUGGUUUCUCUCAAAUACAUGUGUCAGCCAAGGAUCAAUCAAAGUCUACUUUUACUUGCCCUUUUGGUACUUUUGCUUAUAGACGUAUGCCUUUUGGUUUAUGUAAUGCACCUGCUACCUUUCAAAGAUGCAUGAUGGCUAUAUUCUCUGACUUUUGUGAAAAGAUUUGUGAGGUUUUCAUGGACGAUUUCUCCGUCUAUGGAUCUUCUUUUGAUGAUUGCUUGAGCAACCUUGAUCGAGUUUUGCAGAGAUGUGAAGAAACUAAUCUUGUCUUCAAUUGGGAAAAGUGCCACUUUAUGGUUAAUGAAGGUAUUGUCUUGGGCCAUAAAGUUUCUGAAAGAGGUAUUGAGGUUGAUAAAGCCAAGGUUGAUGCUAUUGAAAAGAUGCCAUGUCCCAAGGACAUCAAAGGUAUAAGAAGUUUCCUUGGUCAUGCCGGUUUUUCUAGGAGGUUCAUUAAGGACUUCUCAAAAAUUUCUCGGCUUCUGACUAAUUUAUUACAAAAAGAUAUACCAUUUGUCUUUGAUGAUGAUUGUGUACAAGCAUUUGAAAUACUUAAGAAAGCAUUGAUCUCUGCACCUAUUGUUCAGCCACCUGAUUGGAAUUUACGCUUUGAAAUUAUGUGUGAUGCUAGUGAUUAUGCUGUAGGUGCUGUUCUAGGGAAAAGAGUUGAUAAGAAAUUAAACGUUAUUCAAUAUGCUAGUAAAACCCUAGACAAUGCUCAAAGAAAUUAUGCUACUACUGAAAAAGAAUUCUUAGCAGUUGUAUUUGCUUGUGAUAAGUUCAGACCUUAUAUUGUUGAUUCUAAAGUAACUAUUCACACUGAUCAUGCUGCUAUUAAAUAUCUUAUGGAAAAGAAAGAUGCUAAACCUAGACUUAUUAUAUGGGUUCUCUUGCUACAAGAAUUUGACUUACAUAUUGUUGAUAGAAAAGGAGCUAAGAACCUCGUUGCAGACAACUUGUCUAGGUUAGAAAAUGUGCUUGAUGACCCACUACCUAUUGAUUAUAGCUUUCCUGAUGAGCAAUUAAAUGUCAUAAAUGCUUCUCAUACUGCUCCAUGGUAUGUUGAUUAUGCUAAUUACGUUGUUGCCAAAUUCAUACCACCUAGUUUCACAUACCAGCAAAAGAAAAAGUUCUUCUAUGAUUUGAGGCAUUACUGUUGGGAUGACCCAGAUCUUUAUAAAGAAGGAGUAGAUGGUGUUAUUAGAUGUUGUGUACCUGAGCAUGAACAGGAAUAGAUCCUACGCAAGUGUCACUCUGAAGCUUAUGGAGGACACCAUGCUGGAGAUAGAACUGCACAUAAGGUAUUGCAAUCUAGUUUUUAUUGGCCUACUCUCUUCAAGGAUGCCCGUAAGUUUGUCUUAUCUUGUGAUGAAUGUCAAAGAAUUGGUAAUAUUAGCAGAUGUUAAGAAAUGCCUAUGAACUAUUCACUCGUUAUUAAACCAUUUGAUGUUUGGGGCUUUGACUAUAUGGGACCUUUUCCUGCCUCUAAUGGAUAUACACAUAUUUUAGUUGUUGUUGAUUACGUUACUAAGUGGGUAGAAGCUAUUCCAACUAGUAGUGCUGAUCAUAACACUUCUAUUAAAAUGCUCAAAGAAGUUAUUUUUCCAAGAUUUGGAGUCCCUAGAUAUUUAAUGACUGAUGGUGGUUCACAUUUUAUUCAUGGUGCUUUCCGUAAAAUGCUUGGUAAGUAUGAUGUUAAUCAUAGAAUUGCAUCCCCUUAUCACCCUCAGUCUAGUGGUCAAGUACAAUUGAGUAAUAGAGAGCUCAAAUUAAUUUUGCAAAAGACUGUCAAUAGGUCUAGAAAUAAUUGGUCCAAGAAACUUGAUGAUGCAUUAUGGGCCUAUAGAACUGCAUAUAAAAAUCCUAUGGGUAUGUCUCCGUAUAAAAUGGUUUAUGGAAAAGCAUGUCACUUACCUUUUGAACUAGAACACAAGGAAUAUUGGGCUAUUAAAGAGCUCAAUUAUGAUUUUAAACUUGUCGGUGAGAAGAGGUUAUUUGAUAUUAGCUCACUCGGUGAAUGGAGAACCCAAGCCUACGAAAAUGCCAAGUUGUUUAAAGAAAAAGUUAAAAGAUGGCAUGAUAAAAGAAUACAAAAGCGUGAGUUUAAUGUAGAUGAUUAUGUAUUGCUAUACAACUCUCGUUUAAGAUUUUUUGCAGGAAAACUUCUCUCUAAAUGGGAAGGUCCUUACGUUAGCGAGGAGGUCUAUCGUUCCGGUGCCAUAAAAAUCAACAACUUCGAAGGCACAAAUCCGAAGGUGGUGAACGGUCAAAGAAUCAAACAUUAUAUCUCAGGUAAUCCCAUAAAUGUUGAAACCAAUGUUAUUGAAACCGUAACCCCGGAGGGAUACAUAAGGGACACUUUCCGAAACGUUUCAGACUCCGAAAAGGAAUAGGUAUGUGGUACGGUAAGUAAACCGACUCCAAAACAGUUUUUAAGGCAAUAUUUCUCUGUUUUGGAAUAUUUAGAAAAAUAGAAAAAUAAGAAGCAGUCCGGGAAGGACACGAGGCCUCCACGAGGGUGGAGGGCGCGCCCUACCCUACUGGGCGCGCGCCCCUACCUCGUGGGCACCUCGUGCGCUCUCCGGACUCCGUUUUCGUACACGACACGUAUUUUGGUCGGUAAAAAUUCAUUAUAUAAUCUCCCGGGGGUUUUGACUCCCGUAUCACGCAAUUAUCCUCUGUUUGUGUUUCGAGCUGUUUUUCUGACAGAUCCAGGAUGUCAUGUCAUCUUCAAGUGCCCCCAAGGACCAGUUCUUCGAGAAGGUCAUCAACCCCUACCUCGCGGAGGUGCUGCAACACCCUCAAACCAUUGAGAUGUGUGAGGGGUUGUUGCACAUCCGCGAUGUUGAGGGACCAAGGAAGACCGGAAGCACGAAGGCAAGGCUCAAGGCAUUGGAGCAAGAUGUUUUCAAGUGUCAGGAGAUGGUGGAGCAUGGACUCGAUUCCAAUCACAUUAUGAUCAUGGAGUUCACCAACAACCACAAGCUGGACGUCAAGGAUAUUGGGGAGGCCAUCUUCAAGCUUCAUGAGAAAAUCGAGCACCUCCAAGCCCAGAUCUAUGACCUGCAAAAUCAAAACUGUGAGUAUGAAUAUAGAUUCAAGAGGAUGAGUUUGGCUGCAGAUUUGAGGUUUUAGGAGACUCGAUCAUCCUUCUAUGAUGGUGAGCCUAUGCCUUGGAAGAAGGACGACAAGCCUACGCCAUCAACAAAACCAUCACCUUCUCCACCAACAAAGAAGAAUUGAGUAUCUGGUAUGGGCACUCCUCUUGGCAACUGCCAAGCUUGGGGGAGUGCCCCGGUAUCGUAUCACCAUCACUUUUAUCUUUACCGUUUUUCUUAGUUCGAUCCUUUUGGUAAUAUCUUGAUCUAGUAGAAUAAUUUUUAUGGCAUGAUCUAGUUUUGAGUUUUGCUUUAUAAUCCCUCUAUGUAAUCGAGUCCGUGAGCUAUAUAUAAUAAAGAUUAGUGUUGAGUCAAGGGCUUGAUUAUUUUGCCAUGACCCUAAGUGAAUAAAAGAAAAGAGAAAGAAUAAAAAAAAAGGGGAACAAAGAGAUCAUAUGGAUCUUAUGGAGAGUAAUGAGCUCACAUAGAAAAAGUAUGAUGAAUAAAAGUUGUUGAAAGUUGACAAACAUAGUUUUGGUCAUCGUUGCAAUUAAUAGGAAGUAAUAAAGAAAGAGAGGUCUUCACAUAUAAAUAUACUAUCUUGGACAUCUUUUAUGAUUGUGAGCACUCAUUAAAAUAUGACAUGCUAAAGAGUUAACGUUGGACAAGGAAGACAACGUAAUGGGUUAUGUUUUCUUACAUCUGAGAUAAAUUAUAUUGUCAUGGAUCAUCCAACAUGGUUGAGCUUGCCUUUCCCCCUCAUGCUAGCCAAAUUCAUCGCACCAAGUAGAGAUACUACUUGUGCUUCCAAAUACCCUUAAACCAGUUUUGCCAUGAGAGUCCACCAUACCUACCUAUGUAUUGAGUAAGAUCCUCCAAGUAAGUUGUCAUCAGUGCAAGCAAUAAAAAUUGUUCUCUAAAUAUUUAUGACUUAUUGGUGUGGGAGAAAAUAAACUUUAUACGAUCGUGUGAUAUGGAAGAAAUAAAAGCGACAGACUGCAUAAUAAAGGUCCAUAUCACAAGUGGCAAUAUAAAGUGACGUUCUUUCGCAUUAAGAUUUUGUGCAUCCAACCAUAAAAGCGCAUGACAACCUCUGCUUCCCUCUGCGAAGGGCCUAUCUUUUACUUUUACCUCCUACCUUGCAUAAGAGUCAUGGUGAUCUUCACCCUUCCUUCUUACAUUUUAUCCUUUGGCAAGCACAGUAUGUUGGAAAGAUCCUGGUAUAUAUGGCUAAUUGGAUGUGAGUUUUCAUGAACUAUUAUUGUUGACAUUACCCUUGAGGUAAAACGUUGGGAGGCAAAACCAUAAGCCCCUAUCUUUCUCUGUGUCCGAUUAAAACUCCAUACCCAUAAGUAUUGUGUGAGUGUCAGCAAUUGUGAAAGACUAUAUGAUAGUUGAGUAUGUGGAUUGCUGAAAAGCUCUUAUAUAUUGACUCUUUCCUAUGUUAUGAUAAAUUGCAAUAGCUCCAAUGACUGAGAUUAUAGUUUGUUAGUUUUCAAUGAAGUUUAUGAUUCAUACUUGAAAUUGUGAUUGAAUUAAUACUCUAGCAUAAGAAACCAUAUGACAAGAAUUAUGUAAGUUGUUGUUCUAAGAAUGAUCAUGAUGCCCUCAUGUCUGUAUUUUACUUUUAUCGACACCUCUAUCUCCAAACAUGUGGACAUAUUUUUUGAUUUCGGCUUUCGCUUGAGGACAAGCGAGGUCUAAGCUUGGGGGAGUUGAUACGUCCAUUUUGCAUCAUGCUUUUAUAUCGAUAUUUAUUGCAUUAUGGGUUGUUAUUACACAUUAUGUCACAAUACUUAUGACUAUUCUCUCUUAUUUUACAAGGUUUACAUAAAGAGGAGAAUGCCGGCAACUGGGAUUCUGGGCUGGAAAAGGAGCAAAUAUUAUAGACCUAUUCUGCACAGCUCCAAAAGUCCUGAAACUUCACGGAAGACGUUUUCAGAAUAUAUAAAAAAUACUGAGCGCAAGAAGUUCACCAGGGGGGCCACACCCUGCCCACGAGGGUGGGGGGCGCGCCCUACCCCCCUGGGCGCGCCCCCUACCUCGUGGGCCCCCUGGUGGCCCUCCAAUGGCCAUCUUCUGCUAUAUGGAGUCUUACGAUGAGGAAAAAAUCAUAAGCCAUCUCCUCGGACGAAACUCCGCCGCUACGAGGCGGAACCUUGGCGGAUCCAAUCUAGGGCUCCGGCAGAGCUGUUUUCCCAGGGAAACUUCCCUCUGGGAGGGGGAAAUCAUCGCCAUUGUCAGGACCCCGAUUCCAAGCCACAUCGAUCUAGCCGGUAACACCUCAUAUCACUUUGCGGCCUCACGCACGAUAUCCCACGGGUGUCGCCUUACCAUGGCCCGGGACCAUUUGCGCCUUUUGGCUCACGUAUAUGAUAGUGUCGCUGGCAUCCAUAUGACAGAGAACCCGGGCCGACAUGGCUAGUCGUGAACCCAAAGCGGCACAGACCUAUGGAGACAGGCAUACAUGAAUCACAUCGAGCAUGUCGGUCAUCAGCGAGUGAUUCCGGGCUGUAGCACUGGGCUAACAGGACUCCGGGGAACCCGGGCUGUAGCAGGCUAGGCAGGACUCCGAAAGUCACCGCGUGACAUUUCCUCGAAGGGACAGACAUAGGAACGAAGUGAAUCACAUGCCGGCCAGUCAAGUGUCCUGAGCAGUAGUGCUGGGCUAGCAGGACUCCGGUGAACUGGGCUGUAGCGGACUACUAUGGCUCGAGGAACACUAGACUACAUUUCCCCAUAAGAAAGGCUGCCAAGGAUAAACAACUAGAUUGUCGGAUCCCACUCAUACCAAGCAUUUCAAUCAUACACACAAUAUGCCCGAUAUGAGUACAUACAACAUGGCAUCACAAUAAAACUCUACAACUCAAGUACUUUAUUUAAAGGCUCCAGAGAGCCAUACAUAACAUGUUCAUACAGAUAGGGGUCACAUGACCCGACACUCAAGUCAUACAAUCAUACAAGCACAUGCGGAAGCAACCGGUCUGAGUACAGACACUAGAAAGAAAGAAGGCUCCUCGAAGCCUGUCUAUCUACAUAGGGCCCUCCAUGGCCAUGAUCACCACCUAGGUGACUAAUCACUCGUCGACGUCAAGGUCUACGUAGAACCCAUCGGAGGGGGCGGUGUUGUCGUCUGAAAACAGUAAUUAAGCAAACAUGAGUACAAAGGUACUCAGCAAGUCUUGCAUCAGAACCUACUAUACAUGCUCAUUCUCAAGAAGGUGGUGGGGUUAUUGCAGCAAGCCAGCUUUGACUCUUGGCUAAGCUAUCCUACGGAACUUCUUUAGUAAAAUAGUUUUCGCACACGAGUCCACUACUCACCAACACAAUACUCCACUGGGGAUCCUCCCUCGUCAUCCUACGGGAGGGCCAUCCUCGGUACUCACACUUAUCUUGAGUCUUUUAGUAGUAUCCAUUAACUUGUCUAUGAACUGCAUAGGCAACAAAGUAGUCCUUUACCGCGGACGUGGCUAUUCGAAUAGUUUUAUACCCUGCAGGGGUGUACUUCGUCAUACACGCUUUCACCACUUACCGCCGUUUACACGACAUGUACUCGGCAACCUUCAAGCGGAAGCCCAGCGAGGGUGUCGGCCACGGCCUACCUAAACACUUAAGUCUCUAGUCCAGGUUUAUCGCCUAUCCAGGUUCCAUCCGCAGGGAGUCCGGCCGAGGUUUCCACAUACGGCCCCGAACGAUGUGAACAGGGUCCCGAGACGCCAAACGGGCGCCCGGCAUACCCGGCCAUGGUGUAUCUACCGCAACAUAGCCCACCCCUAGGGUCAGCGCUACGCACGGCCGCCAACACAUAACCUACAAACACCAGAAACUAUUUGCAUCUCCUGGACAGAGUACUAGGGUGAUUAAGAAGCCGAGAGGGUCAAUUAAGGAUCCCAAUGCAUGGUAGUAGCUGAAUCUUAAAAUCACACAUACAGAUCUCAGUUCUUAGGGACGGCCUCAAUGAAACAACCCACCAUGUACUCCUACAUGGCCUCUCGUCGAUACCUUUACCAAAACAUGUUCCACACAUCCCUCACAUUACUGACAUAAUCAUUCCACUCUAGCCCAUCACCCAGAUGAACUAGACCUGACACAACUCUAAGCAUAGCAGGCAUAGCAAGGUAGGAAUCACAAAACAUGGCUCAAUCAACUCCUACACAUGCUAGUGGGUUUCAUCUAGUUACUGUGGCAAUGACAGGUCAUGCAGAGGAUAAGGGUUCAACUACCAUAGCACACAGCAGUUUGAAACGCGUUGUCUUAAUGCAGUAAACAAGAGCAGAAGUGAGAACAUGGGUUUGUAUUGGAAUGAUCAAUGGGUUGCUUGCCUGAUGGAGUGGUAGUGGGAUACUGCCCUUCAGUUGGAUACUCGUGAAUAUCCUCGGAGGCAGAACCUACCACGAAGAACACAUCGGAACACAAUCAACACAUGACGAUAUGCAACAAUAUGAUGCAUGCUAUGACAUGGCAAUAUAAACGUGUCUUGGCCUAAUGCAAGCUAUAACAGAAAGGAAUGAACUCAUUUGAAUCAAAGAUUGAAAUAUUAGCUCAUUAAACAUGGCCUUAGUAGUGCAUUUCCUUAAUCUGCUUAAACAGCAACGUAAACUUGUUUUGUCAUGCAUGAAACCAUUACAGAUGGAUAGAUUGAAUUUUUCUGAUAAUGUUUCAUAUAUAAAUUAUUUCAUUUGGAGCUAUGGUUGAUUUUCUAUGAUUUUUAGAAGUUUUAAAAAUUUUCUGGAAUUUCCUGAAUAAAAAUAAAUCCAAAAAAUGCAUUACUGCGUCAGCAUUGCGUCAUGCUGACCUCAGCAGGUCAAAGGCACCAACCCAAGUCAAACCUGACUGGUGGGCCCCUUCUGUCAGCCUCUCAGCUAAUUAACAGGAUUAGAUUAACACUAAUUAGCUGUCAGUGGGGCCUGGGCCCACAUGUUAGUGACUGAUUAACUUAAAAUUAAUUAAAACUAAUCCUAGAUUAGUUAGCAGACCGGCCCCACCUGUCAUAGACUCAGGGGGGUCUACCUGGGCCCACCCAGGGUCAAACUGGGUCAAACUCACCGGCGACUCGACGCCGGCGAGGCCCAAGACGGUGGCGCGGCUCGGAAAACGCCUACAUGGCACGAGCGAGGCCGUUCUUGGGCUCGUUGGAGAGCUCUUGCAGUCGCGCAUCUAAUGAUGGUGGAGGCCGGGCCUAUGGUGGCCGGAGACGACAACGGCGAGCUCCAAGGCGGCGGCCGGAGUUCGGCCAUGUGCGGGGUGUGGGCUGCAGCGUGCAAACGCGAAAACUAAGGCGCUAGCGAGGCACUAUGCGAUGCGACAAGCAUGUUGCAUAGCACGGGAGGACCAAAUGGUCGCCGGAGCGACGCCGGCGACGAGCUCGAGCGGAGACGAGCUUCGGCCAUGGUGGAACUAUGGCCUAGAGGGUGCAAAUGCGUGGGAAAGAAGAGGGGAAAGGCGGCAGAGCUCACAGGGAGGUCGAUGAGCAGCUCAGUGGGCUCGGGGGCGACCGGAGCAAGGCGAAUCGAUGAGCGGCGUCUGGCGGGUAUCGAGGUAGAAGACGAUCCGAUGGCGGCGAUGCAGGGCCUCCGGCGAUGCGUGGCUCGGUGGGGAGGGCGAGGGCGUCGCGGCGGAUCUUCUGGACAGGUCGGAGAAGCGAGGGGGUGACGAAGGGUGCGACUACGGCGGUGAGACGGUGACAAGCUCGUCGGCCAUGGUGCGGGAGAGGGUGAGGGAGACGAGGGGGAGAGUGAGGGAGGAUGAGAGGGGGACUUGGGGGUCGUGUGGCAUCCCUGGACGUCUCCAUGUGUCGGCAGAAGCAGGAGGUGGCCGGCGUGUGGCCGCGGGCGCCGGCCACGCCCUCCGUGUCCUUCUGGCGCGAGGAGGACGACGACUGGCAGCGCCAGUAGGCUGGGCCGAGCCAGGUGGGCUGGCCAGCACAGGUAAGGCCCAGGUGGGCUUCCCUCUCUCUUUUCUUUCUGUUUGUUUUCUUUUUCUAUUUAACUGCAACUGUUGGGCUUUAUUAAAAAUACUAAAACGUUUCCAAAAAUUCUGAAAAUAAAUGUGAGCUCUGUUUAGAAUAUUUCCAACAGGAAACAUGUAUUCCCAGAAUUAUUUGAGCAUUUAAAUUAUUUUAUAGCAUUUAAAUGCCCAAAUUCAAAUACUUAUGAUUUAAUUCAAUGACCUUCUGUUGACCUAGAAAAUUGUGCACCAAUUUUGCCAGAGGUUUUAACCCAAGACAAAGAGGGUGAACUUUUUAUAAGGGCAUUUCAGGUUCAUUGAAAAUAAUUUUAGUAAACCCUAGUUGUUUCCAGGGGGUGCUGGGGGUUCUGUCUUCCCCAUUUCAAAUUUAGUAGGAAAUUAAACAUGAUGCACACUCUAAUGCUUGAACUAAACUAGGGUGUGACAACUCACCCCCACUCAAAAGAAUCUCGUCCCGAGAUUUAGGAUCCUCCGGGAAGAAGGUGGGGUACUCGAGUCGAAGACGAUCCUCCCUUUCCCAAGUGGCUUCUUUCUCGGAGUGGUGUGACCAUUGAACCUUGAGAAACUUGAUAUUACGACGUCGAGUGGUACGCUCGGCUUGGUCAAGGAUACGAACGGGAUAUUCCCGAUAGGAGAGGUUAUCUUGUAGAUCAAGCGUUUCGUGGUCCACUCCACAGAUAGGAUCCGCGAAGCAACGCCUGAGUUGUGAAACGUGGAAGACAUCGUGAACUCUGGAAAGAUGCGGAGGUAGUUCCAAUUGGUAGGCAACUUCUCCUUGUUUGGCAAGAAUGCGAAAGGGUCCAAUGUAACGAGGAGCCAAUUUGCCUUUGAUACUGAAACGAUGGGUUCCCUUUAACGGGGUAACCCGAAGGUAAGCCUUCUCAUCGACUUCAUAAGUCAUAGGCUUAUGUUUACGAUCAUAUUGACUCUUUUGACGAGAUUGGGCUAUUUUCAAUUUCUCACGAAUAAUGCGAACCUGCUCUUCUGCUUCCUGAAUCAUAUCCGGGCCAAAGAGUUGUCUUUCCCUGGUUUCUGACCAGUUAAGAGGCGUUCGACAUUUUCGUCCAUAGAAAACUUCGAAAGGAGCUUUGCCCAAGCUAGCUUGAUAACUAUUGUUAUAAGCAAACUCCGCGAAGGGAAGGCAUUUCUCCCAACUCAUUCCGAACGAGAUAACAGAAGCUCGGAGCAUAUCUUCCAGAAUUUGAUUGACUCGCUCUACUUGACCACUUGAUUGAGGAUGGAAGGCGGUACUAAAAGAGAGACGAGUUCCCAUAGCAUUUUGGAAACUUUCCCAAAAUCGAGAGGUGAAGAGACUCCCACGGUCUGAGUUAAUUUCCAAUGGGACACCAUGAAGAGACACUAUUCGGGAGAUGUAUAAAUCGGCUAGCUGGCUAGCGGUGAUACUCUCACGAACAGGUAGAAAAUGGGCUACUUUGGAAAGUCGGUCGAUCGCGACGAAGAUGGCAUUAUUCCCUCUCUUGGUCCUGGGAAACCCACUGAUGAAAUCCAUACUGAUUUUAUCCCAUUUCCAUUCAGGAAUAGCCAAAGGUUGAAGGGUGCCAGCAGGCCGUUGGUGCUCUGCUUUAACACGACGACAGACGUCGCAGCUAGCAAUAUAUUGAGCGAUUUCUCUCUUCAUCCUAGUCCACCAAAACCUCUGGCGUAGGUCUUGAUACAUUUUAGUACUACCGGGAUGAAUGGUGAGAGGGGAUUCAUGAGCUUCCUUAAGGAUCAACUGGUGCAGAUGAUGUUUCUUGGGAACCACCAGACGGUUCUCAAAGAAGACAGCACCUCGCUCAUCCAUGGAGAAACAUUUAGCAACUCCGCUAGCAAUGUUUUCCUUAAUCCGGGAUAUGCCCUUGUCAUACCGCUGGGCGGUUAUGAUUUGAUCCAUAAGGGUAGGUUUCGCCACCAGGGUGGAUAGGAAUCCUCGAGGAACAAUGUGAAGAUUAAGCUUACGAAAUUCCUCAUGGAGAAGUGGUUGAAUUUGUUGUAACAUCAGGUUGUUACAAUAGGACUUACGGCUUAGCGCAUCAGCCAUGACAUUGGCUUUGCCCGGGGUGUAAGUUAUUCCUAAGUCGUAAUCCGAGAUCAACUCAACCCAACGUCUUUGCCUGAGAUUCAAAUCUGGUUGGGUGAAGAUAUAUUUCAAACUUUGGUGAUCGGUGAAGAUCUCGCAACGAUUAUAGAGGAGGUAAUGUUGCCAAGUUUUAAGUGCAUGGACUACAGCUGCCAGCUCUAGAUCAUGUGUGGGAUAAUUUUCCUCAUGUCGAUGUAAUUGCCGUGAAGCAUAGGCAAUUACCUGACGAUCUUGCAUGAGUAUGCAACCUAGUCCUUGUCGUGAGGCGUCACUAUAGAUAAUAAAGUCCUUGGAGAAGUCUGGUGGUACAAGUACGGGAGCAGAUGUCAAGCGUCUUUUCAGUUCCUGAAAGCUGAACUCGCACUGUGGAGUCCACUCAAACCUUUUAUCUUUCUUGAGGAGUUCAGUUAGAGGUUUAGCAACCUUGGAGAAAUUUUCGACGAAGCGGCGGCAAUAGCUCGCUAAGCCAAGGAAACUCUGAACUUGCUUGACCGUCUUAGGUGGAGUCCAGUCAAGGACGGCUUGAACUCGCUCGGGAUUGAUAGCAAUACCCUUACCAGAAAUUACAUGGCCUAGAUAGGUCACUUCUGGCAACCAAAAUUCACACUUGGAGAAUUUGGCAUAAAGGCGAUGCUCUCGAAGUUUCAUCAAUACCAGCCUUAGAUGUUCAGCAUGUUCCUCUUCAUUCUUGGAGUAGAUGAGUAUGUCAUCGAGGUAUACUACGACGAAUUUAUCCAAGUACUCCAUGAAGACCGAGUUCAUUAACCGAGAGAAGGUAGUUGGGGCAUUGGUUAAACCGAAGGACAUGACGGUGUACUCGUAUUGACCAUAACGAGUAACAAAGGCCGUUUUGGGAAUGUCCCCGUUUCUGAUUUUGAUUUGAUGGUAGCGCAACCUCAAAUCCAUCUUGGAGAAGACUGAGGAUCCAGCGAGCUGAUCAUACAGAUCGUUGAUCCUGGGAAGCGGGUAUUUGUUCUUGAUGGUGACCAAAUUGACAGGUCGGUAAUCCACAACCAUUCGAUCCGUUCCAUCCUUCUUCUUAACGAAUAGGACGGGGCAAGCCCAAGGAGAGGAACUAGGACGGAUGAAACCCUUUUUCAAGGACUCAUCGAGUUGGUUCUUAAGCUCGGCUAGUUCUAAGGGUGCCAUCUUGUAGGGUCUUCUAGAAAUUGGAACGGUUCCUGGAACAAGGUCUAUCACAAAGUCGACAUCCCUGUCAAGUGGAACACCUGGCAGUUCUUCUGGAAAGACAUCCGGAAAGUCUCGGACUACCGGAACAUCCUCAAGGUCUGGAAGGGGGUUGGCAUUUAGGGAGUAAAGUUGGCGCUUGGCCACUCGAGUUAAGACAUUAACUGUCUUGCCCGAUGGGUGAGUAAGUUGAACGGUUCUAGUGGCACAAUCGAUCUUAGCAUAAUGAGCUGACAUCCAGUCCAUACCCAAGAUGAUGUUUAUGUCCGAGGACUUGAGAGCUAUUAAGGAUGCAAGGAAGACAAGUCUAUCGACAAGAAUUUCGUUCCCAUGGCUUACUCUAGAAGUUUGCCAUCUAGAGCCAGGGGUUUGAAUUUCCAUGGUAGAGGGCAUGUCACAGAAUGUCGUGUUGUGCAAUCGAGCAUAGUUCUCGGAUAUGAAUGAAUGAGAUGCUCCAGUAUCAAAAAGAACAGAUGCCGGAUGGCAGUUAACAAGGAGCGUACCAAGGACGACGUUGGGAUCCUCAUGAGCCUCCUCGGAUGAAACAUAGUUGACAUGGCCACGUGCAGUGGUGGCCGGCUUGGCGUAGAACGUUUUUCCCGCGGGCUUACCACGGCCAACGGACUUUCCAGUUUGAUUGGGGUUGUUGUUCUGGGGACACUCUCGGCUAUAGUGACCCAGCUCUCCACACUUGAAGCAUGUCACCACAUUGGGGCGUGGAGCAGCAUUAGUAGCAGGGCCACCAUAGGGCUUGGGCGGUGCAAAUUUCUGGUUGGGACGAGGCGCCUCAAAGGAUGGCCUUGGAAUGAACCUGGGUGGCAAUGACGUGCUUGGAAUCCACACCCGGCGCUUCUGAGCUCUAGAGCCGGAUGAAGAGCCAAAAUCACAGGAGUGCUUGCGUGAAGCGUCAUAAUCAGUCUGGCAUGUCUUAGCACUGAUGGCUUUAUUGACCAACUUCUGGAAGGAGGUGCACUCGUGCAGACGAAGAUCGCGACGAAGCUCAGGGCUAAGUCCCUUGCGGAACCUUGCCUGCUUCUUAGCGUCAGUAGAUACCUCUUCAGGGGCAUAACAUGCCAGGUUCCCAAAUUCACGACUAUAAGCAUCCACAGUCAGUCUUCCUUGGGUGAAGUUGCAGAACUCCUCCCUCUUGCGAUCCAUGAGACCUUCCGGAAUGUGAUGCUCACGGAAAGCCUCACUGAAUUCAGCCCAAGUAGUGAUUUGACCGACCGGGCGCAUAGCUUCGAAGUUUUCCCACCAAAGGCUAGCAGGGCCUUCCAGGUGAUAGGCAGCAUAGGUAACCUUGUCGGCUUCGGCUACAUUGGCAGAACAUAGCUUGUGGGUGAUGCUGCGAAGCCAGUCAUCCGCGUUGAGGGGCUCGACGGAAUGGUUAAACUUUGGUGGGUACAGCUUGAUAAAGUCAUUGAUUGACACCAAGUCAUUUCGCGGGUGGCAUGCAGUGUUCUGCUCAAUCCGCUCUAGCAGGCGGUUAGUCUCACGCUUGUUUCUUUCCGCCUCCAGCAUUACUUCGGCCAGAGAAGGCGGGUGAGGCAGAUUUUCACCUCUAGCUGCACUGGCUUCCCCCUGCUCUGGGGCAGCAGGGUUGCUGCGGGUGUUGACCAUCCUAGGAGAAAACUAGACAACGGUUUAGACAAGGAUGGUUCAAACUUAGCCAGGAAGUGCAGAAUGUAAUGGAUAACACGGAAUGCAGAGAUGUUCAUCCGUAUGUCAUGGUAAUAUAAAACUGCCAUAUAUAUACCAACGGUCAUACACAUCAUACAUAGUUUAGUACAAGCCCAGGCUACAGUACAACUAUGAUGAAAGACGUUACAUCUCAUCGGAGGCAUUCCAAGCUCCUAUACAUUAUUUGUCUACACCUCCGGAAUCGAUUACACGCAAAGUCAUAUUCCACAAGUCACGCAGGACAGUGGAGAUACAACUACUACAAUACUAGUGGUACUACUACUAACUCAGACAGCUCCGUAGUAGUCCUCAUAGAAGUCACCUCCAUAGCCUGGAAGUUCAACGUGACCAUCCGGGAACAUACGGUCCUGAGGAGCCUGUGGACCAUAGGGGCUAGGAUGAGGUCUUGGACCAACAAACGGUGGCCUGCGGGGACCACGGGGUGGGGUGAUGCCUCCCACAUCACGCCAAUCCACCAUGUCUGGCAGAGCUGAUCUCACAGGAUACAGAUCCCUUGUAUCCAUACAUCCAGCUUGCACCGCAGGUGCAAACCGAGUCAAUGUGGCCCAAUGAUCAGCACGGGUAUUGAAAAGCUCCAGCCUCAAGGCCCGAUUCUCUUGGUCCUUAUCUUCGAGCAUCUCAGCAGUGGUACGAGUUAAUGAAUCCUCCUGAGUGGAGUCAGCAUAGAUAGCCUGAAGAUACCCUUGCGCUCCCGAAAGUGAAGCUGGCAUGUAAUGGAAAUCAGUGUUCCGAAGCAGGCCAGUCCGAACUCGCAUGAUGGUCAUCAUGGAAUAGGCAGCAUCCUGCACAGCCAUCUCAACAGUAACCCUGAGUCCAUAGGAACAGUGAAGGGGCUCGGUAGAUCCAGGAUAAGAAGCAAAUAUCCUAACGGUGCAGAAAUACUGGCUUUGAUUAAAGUCGCGGAACUGCUCCUCGACGGUGUAUUCGGGAUACCAACGGUAACCCGUCUCGAUCAUGACCCGGACUAACAUAGCAGUAUGACCGGGCACGUCGAGGCACCGGGUCAGGCGAACCACUUGGUUUUGAGCAUGGUUGGCCAUCUGAAAGCACAACCACAAUGCAAAGACAUUAGAAUUCCUAGGGAAAAUUGGACAGCAUAACGGCUGUAAAUGCUCAGAAAAAGAUUUGAGACAUCCACAACAGUUCACAAUACCACUCAACAACGUCAUAUCAAGGUUCUGAUUCAAAUAGCAACAUACUAAGAAUAGUAGAAACUGAACUGGGACUUGUAACAACAAUCCUAUAAGCUACUACGGAUUAGUAACACGUGAACCUGAUAGAAGAAGAGAGCCUAGUCCUUAGCCCACGUUGAAUGAGAAGAGAAUGACUCAGCUCAGAGGCAUAGGGUAAAGGAGUAAAAGAGCCUUACGUUCCCUUCCACAAUCAAUUCCCCUACAUAUAACUAAAGCAUUUCUAGAGUCGACAUCGACCAGUUUGGCUCAACGAACCUACAGGCAGUCCGGCUCUGAUGCCAACGCUGUCAGGACCCCGAUUCCAAGCCACAUCGAUCUAGCCGGUAACACCUCAUAUCACUUUGCGGCCUCACGCACGAUAUCCCACGGGUGUCGCCUUACCAUGGCCCGGGACCGUUUGCGCCUUUUGGCUCACGUAUAUGAUAGUGUCGCUAGCAUCCAUAUGACAGAGAACCCGGGCCGACAUGGCUAGUCGUGAACCCAAAGCGGCACAGACCUAUGGAGACAGGCAUACAUGAAUCACAUCAAGCAUGUUGGUCAUCAGCGAGUGAUUCCGGGCUGUAGCACUGGGCUAACAGGACUCCGGGGAACCCGGGCUGUAGCAGGCUAGGCAGGACUCCGGAAGUCACCGCAUGACAUUUCCCCGAAGGGACAGACAUAGGAACAAAGUGAAUCACAUGCCGGCCAGUCAAGUGUCCUGAGCAGUAGUGCUGGGCUAGCAGGACUCCGGUGAACCGGGCUGUAGCGGACUACUAUGGCUCGAGGAACACUAGACUACAUUUCCCCAUAAGAAAGGCUGCCAAGGAUAAACAACUAGAUUGUCGGAUCCCACUCAUACCAAGCAUUUCAAUCAUACACACAAUAUGCCCGAUAUGAGUACAUACAACAUGGCAUCACAACAAAACUCUACAACUCAAGUACUUUAUUUAAAGGCUCCAGAGAGCCAUACAUAACAUGUUCAUACAGAUAGGGGUCACAUGACCCGACACUCAAGUCAUACAAUCAUACAAGCACAUGCGGAAGCAACCGGUCUGAGUACAGACACUAGAAAGAAAGAAGGCUCCUCGAAGCCUGUCUAUCUACAUAGGGCCCUCCAUGGCCAGGAUCACCACCUGGGUGGCUAGUCACUCGUCGACGCCAAGGUCUACGUAGAACCCAUCGAAGGGGGCGGUGUUGUCGUCUGAAAACAGUAAUUAAGCAAACAUGAGUACAAAGGUACUCAGCAAGUCUUACAUCAGAACCUACUAUACAUGCUCAUUCUCAAGAAGGUGGUGGGGUUAUUGCAGCAAGCCAGCUUUGACUCUUGGCUAAGCUAUCCUACGGAACUUCUUUAGUAAAAUAGUUUUUGCACACGAGUCCACUACUCACCAACACAAUACUCCACCGGGGAUCCUCCCUCGUCAUCCUACGAGAGGGCCAUCCUCGGUACUCACACUUAUCUUGAGUCUUUUAGUAGUAUCCAUUAACUUGUCUAUGAACUGUUGGGGAACGUUGCAGAAAACAAAAAAAUUCCUACGGUUUCACCAAGAUCCAUCUAUGAGUUCAUCUUGCAACGAGUGGUUGGAUGCAUCUACGUACCUUGUAGAUCGCGAGCGGAAGCGUUCAAAGAACGGGGAUGAGGGAGUCGUACUCGACGUGAUCCAAAUCACCGGAGAUCCUAGCGCCGAACGGACGGCACCUCCGCGUUCAACACACGUACGGUCAGCGUAACGUCUCCUCCUUCUUGAUCCAGCAAGGGGGAAGGAGAGGUUGAGCAAGAUGGCUCCAGCAGCAGCACGACGGCGUGGUGGUGAUGGAGCUGCAGUACUCCGGCAGGGCUUCGCCAAGCUCUAUGGAGAAGGAGGAGGUGUUGGACAGGGAGAGGGAGGCACCAAUGGCGUAGGUAGGAGGCCCUCCCUCCCCCCCCCCACUAUAUAUAGGGGGGCGCCGUCCCUAGGAGAUGCAAUCUCCUAGGGGGGGCGGCGGCCAAGGGGUGGGGGGCUUGCCCCCAAGCAAGGGGGCGCCCCCCUUUAGGGUUUCCCCCACCCUAGGCGCAUGGGCCCUAGGGGAAGUGGCGCCCCAGCCCACUUUGGGCUGGAUCCCUUCCCACUUCAGCCCAUGGGGCCCUCUGGGAUAGGUGGCCCCACCCGGUGGACCCCCGGGACCCUUCCGGUGGUCCCGGUACAAUACCGGUGACCCCAAAACUUGUCCCGAUGGCCGAAAUAGCACUUCCUAUAUAUAAUUCUUUACCUCUGGACCAUUCCGAAACUCCUCGUGACGUCCGGGAUCUCAUCCGGGACUCCGAACAACAUUCUGGUUACUGCAUAUACAUAUCCCUACAACCCUAGCGUCACCGAACCUUAAGUGUGUAGACCCUACGGGUUCGGGAGACAUGUAGACAUGACCGAGAUUGCUCUCCGGUCAAUAACCAACAGCGGGAUCUGGAUACCCAUGUUGGCUCCCACAUGCUCCUUGAUGAUCUCAUCGGAUGAACCACGAUGUCGAGGAUUCAAGCAACCCCGUAUACAAUUCCCUUUGUCAAUCGGUAUGUUACUUGCCCGAGAUUUGAUCGUAGGUAUCCCAAUACCUCGUUCAAUCUCGUUACCGGCAAGUCACUUUACUCGAACCAUAAUGCAUGAUCCCGUGACCAGACACUUGGUCACUUUGAGCUCAUAAUGAUGAUGCAUUACCGAGUGGGCCCAGUGAUACCUCUCCGUCAUACGGAGUGACAAAUCCCAGUCUUGAUCCGUGUCAACCCAACAGACACUUUCGGAGAUACCCGUAGUAUACCUUUAUAGCCACCCAGUUACGUUGUGACGUUUGGUAUACCCAAAGUACUCCUACGGUAUUCGGGAGUUACACGAUCUCAUGGUCUAAGGAAAAGAUACUUGACAAUGCAAAACUCCAGCAAACGAACUAUACGGUCUUGUGCUAUGUUUAGGAUUGGGUCUUGUCCAUCACAUCAUUCUCCUAAUGAUGUGAUCUCGUUAUCAAUGACAUCCAAUGUCCAUAGUCAGGAAACCAUGACUAUCUGUUGAUCAACGAGCUAGUCAACUAGAGGCUUACUAGGGACAUGUUGGUGUCUAUUAUUCACACAUGUAUUACGAUUUCCGGAUAACACAAUUAUAGCAUGAAUAAAAGACAAUUAUCAUGAACAAGGAAAUAUAAUAAUAAUGCUUUUAUUAUUGCCUCUAGGGCAUAUUUCCAACAUGAACUGCAUAGGCAACCAAGUAGUCCUUUACCGCGGACGCGGCUAUUCAAAUAGUUUUAUACCCUACAGGGGUGUACUUCGUCAUACACGCUUUCACCACUUACCGCCGUUUACACGACAUGUACUCGGCAACCUUCAAGCCGAAGCCCAGCGAGGGUGUCGGCCACGGCCUACCUAAACACUUAAGUCUCUAGUCUAGGUUUAUCGCCUAUCCAGGUUCCAUCCGCAGGGAGUCCGGCCGAGGUUUCCACAUACUGCCCCGAACGAUGUGAACAGGGUCCCGAGACGCCAAACGGGCGCCCGGCAUACCCGGCCACGGUGUAUCUACCUCAACAUAGCCCACCCCUAGGGUCAGCGCUACGCACGGCCGCCAACACAUAACCUACAAACACCAGAAACUAUUUACAACUCCUGGACAGAGUACUAGGGUGACUAAGAAGCCGAGAGGGUCAAUUAAGGAUCCCAAUGCAUGGUAGUAGCUGAAUCUUAAAAUCACACAUACAGAUCUCAGUUCUUAGGGAUGGCCUCAAUGAAACAACCCACCAUGUACUCCUACAUGGCCUCUCAUCGAUACCUUUACCAAAACAUGUUCCACACAUCCCUCACAUUAUCGACAUAAUCAUUUCACUCUAGCCCAUCACCCAGAUGAACCAGACCUGACACAACUCUAAGCAUAGCAGGCAUAGCAAGGUAGGAAUCACAAAACAUGGCUCAAUCAACUCCUACACAUGCUAGUGGGUUUCAUCUAGUUACUGUGGCAAUGACAGGUCAUGCAGAGGAUAAGGGUUCAACUACCGUAGCACACAACAGUUUGAAACGCGUUGUCUUAAUGCAGUAAACAAGAGCAGAAGCGAGAACAUGGGUUUGUAUCGGAAUGAUCAAUGGGUUGCUUGCCUGAUGGAGUGGUAGUGGGAUACUGCCCUUCAGUUGGAUACUUGUGAAUAUCCUCGGAGGCAGAACCUACCACGAAGAACACAUCGAAACACAAUCAACACAUGACGAUAUGCAACAAUAUGAUGCAUGCUAUGACAUGGCAAUAUGAAUGUGUCUUGGCCUAAUGCAAGCUAUAACAGAAAGGAAUGAACUCAUUUGAAUCAAAGAUUCAAAUAUUAGCUCAUUAAACAUGGCCUUAAUAGUGCAUUUCCUUAAUCUGCUUAAACAGCAAGGUAAACUUGUUUUGUCAUGCAUGAAACCAUUAAAGAUGGAUAGAUUGAAUUUUUCUGAUAAUUUUUCAUAUAUAAAUUAUUUCAUUUGGAGCUAUGGUUGAUUUUCAAUGAUUUUUAGAAGUUUUAAACAUUUUCUGGCAUUUCCUGAAUAAAAAUAAAUCCAGAAAAUGCAUUACUGCGUCAGCAUUGCGUCAUGCUGACCUCAGCAGGUCAAAGGCGCCAGCCCAAGUCAAACCUGACUGGUGGGCCCCUUCUGUCAGCCUCUCAGCUAAUUAACAGGAUUAGAUUAACACUAAUUAGCUGUCAGUGGGGCCUGGGCCCACAUGUCAGUGACUGAUUAACUUAAAAUUAAUUAAACAAAUCCUAGAUUACUUAGCAGACCGGCCCCACCUGUCAUAGACUCAGGAGGGUCUACCUGGGCCCAUCCAGGGUCAAACUGGGUCAAACUCGCUGGCGACUCGACGCCAGCGAGGCCCGAGACGGUGGCGCGGCUCGAAAAACGCCUACAUGGCACGAGCGAGGCCGUUCUUGGGCUCGUUGGAGAGCUCUUGCAGUCGCACAUCUAAUGGUGGUGGAGGCCGGGCCUACGGUGGCCGGAGACGACGACGGCGAGCUCCAAGGCGGCGGCCAGAGUUCGGCCAUGUGCGGGGUGUGGGCUAUAGCGUGCAAACGCGAAAACUAAGGCGCUAGCGAGGCACUACGCGAUGCGGCAAGCAUGUUGCGUAGCACGGGAGGACCAAAUGGUCGCCGAAGCGACGCCGGCGACGAGCUCGAGCGGAGACGAGCUUCGGCCAUGGUGGAACUAUGGCCUAGAGGGUGCAAAUGCGUGGGAAAGAAGAGGGGAAAGGCGGCAGAGCUCACAGGGAGGUCGAUGAGCAGCUCAGUGGGCUCGGGGGCGACCGGAGCGAGGCGAAUCAAUGAGCGGCGUCUGGCGGGUAUCAAGGUAGAAGAUGAUCCGAUGGCGGCGAUGCAGGGCCUCCGGCGAUGCGUGGCUCGAUGGGGAGGGCGAGGGCAUCGCGGCAGAUCUUCUGGAAAGGUCGGAGAGGCGAGGAGGUGACGGAGGGCGCGACUAUGGCGGUGAGACGGCGACAAGCUCGUCGGCCAUGGUGCAGGAGAGGGUGAGGGAGACGAGGGGGAGAGUGAUGUUGGGGAACGUAGUAAUUUCAAAAAUUUCCUACGCAGACGUAAGAUCAUGGUGAUGCAUAGCAACGAGAGGGAAGAGUGUGAUCUACGUACCCUUGUAGAUCGACAACGGAAGCGUUUGGUUGAUGUAGUCGUACGUCUCCACGGCCCGACUGAUCAAGCACCGAAACUACGGCACCUCCGAGUUUUAGCACACGUUCAGCUCGAUGAUGAUCCCUGGACUCCGAUCCAGCAAAGUGUCGGGGAAGAGUUCCGUCAGCACGACGGCGUGGUGAUGAUAUUGAUGUACUACUGUCGCAGGGCUUCGCCUAAGCACCGCUACAAUAUUAUCGAGGACUAUGGUGGCAGGGGGCGCCGCACACGGCUAAGAAUAUGAUCACAUGGAUCAACUUGUGUCUCUUGGGGUGCCCUUGCCUCCGUAUAUAAAGGUUCAAGAGGGGGAGGCCGGCCGGCCACCAUAGGGCACUCCAGGAGGAGUCCUACUCCCUCCGGGAGUAGGACUUCUCCCCCAAUCCUAGUUGGAAUAGGAUUCGCGAGGUGGGAACGGAGAGAGAGAGAGAAGGAAGGGGGCGCCGCCCCCCCCCCCCCUCUCCUUGUCCUAUUCGGACUAGGGGGGAGGGGCGCGCGGCCCGGCCCUGGCUGCCUCUCCUCUUCUUCCACUAAGGCCCAUUAAGGCCCAUGUACCUCCCGGGGGGUUCCGGUAACCUCCCGGUACUCCGCUAAAAUCCCGAUUUCACCCGGAACACUUCCGAUAUCCAAACAUAGGCUUCCAAUAUAUCAAUCUUUAUGUCUCGACCAUUUCGAGACUCCUUGUCAUGUCCAUGAUCACAUCCGGGACUCCGAACAACCUUCGGUACAUCAAAACGUAUAAACUCAUAAUAUAACUGUCAUCGAAACCUUAAGCGUGCGGACCCUACGGGUUCGAGAACAAUGUAGACAUGACCGAGACAUGUCUCUGGUCAAUAACCAAUAGCGGGACCUGGAUGCCCAUAUUGGCUCCUACAUAUUGUACGAAGAUCUUUAUCGGUCAGACCGCAUAACAACAUACGUUGUUCCCUUUGUCAUCGGUAUGUUACUUGACCGAGAUUCGAUCGUCGGUAUCCAAUACCUAGUUCAAUCUCGUUACCGGCAAGUCUCUUUACUCGUUCCGUAAUACAUCAUCUCGCAACUAACUCAUUAGUUGCAUUGCUUGCAAGGCUUAAGUGAUGUGCAUUACCGAGAGGGCCCAGUGAUACCUCUCCGACGAUCGGAGUGACAAAUCCUAAUCUCGAAAUACGUCAACCCAACAUGAACCUUUGGACACACCUGUAGAGCACCUUUAUAAUCACCCAGUUACGUUGUGACGUUUGGUAGCACACAAAGUGUUCCUCCGGCACACGGGAGUUACAUAAUCUCAUAGUCAUAGGAACAUGUAUAAGUCAUGAAGAAAGCAAUAGCAACAUACUAAACGAUCAGGUGCUAAGCUAAUGGAAUGGGUCAUGUCAAUCAGAUCAUUCAACUAAUGAUGUGAUCCCGUUAAUCAAAUGACAACUCUUUGUCCAUGGUUAGGAAACUUAACCAUCUUUGAUUAACGAGCUAGCCAAGUAGAGGCAUACUAGUGACACUCUGUUUGUCUAUGUAUUCACACAUGUAUUAUGUUUCCGAUUAAUACAAUUCUAGCAUGAAUAAUAGACUUUUAUCAUGAUAUAAGGAAAUAAAUAAUAACUUUAUUAUUGCCUCUAGGGCAUAUUUCCUUCAGUCUCCCACUUGCACUAGAGUCAAUAAUCUAGAUUACACAGUAAUGAUUCUAACACCAAUGGAGCUUUGGUGUUGAUCAUGUUUUGCUCGUGGAAGAGGCUUAGUCAACGGGUCUGCUACAUUCAGCUCUGUAUGUAUCUUGAAAAUCUCUAUGUCUCCCACCUAGACUAGAUCCCAGAUGGAAUUGAAGUGUCUCUUGAUGUGCUUGGUUCUCUUGUGAAAUCUGGAUUCCUUUGCCAAGGCAAUUGCACCAGUAUUGUCACAAAAGAUUUUCAUUGGACCCGAUGCACUAGGUAUGACACCUAGAUCGGAUAUGAACUCCUUCAUCCAGACUCCUUCAUUUGCUGCUUCCGAAGCAGCUAUGUACUCCGCUUCACAUGUAGAUCCCGCCACGACGCUUUGUUUAGAACUGCACCAACUGACAGCUCCACCAUUUAAUGUAAACACGUAUCCGGUUUGCGAUUUAGAAUCGUCCGGAUCAGUGUCAAAGCUUGCAUCAACGUAACCGUUUACGAUGAGCUCUUUGUCACCUCCAUAUACGAGAAACAUAUCCUUAGUCCUUUUCAGGUAUUUCAGGUUGUUCUUGACCACUGUCCAGUGAUCCACUCCUGGAUUACUUUGGUACCUCCCUGCUAGACUUAUAGCAAGGCACACAUCAGGUCUGGUACACAGUAUUGCAUACAUGAUAGAGCCUAUGGCUGAAGCAUAGGGAACAUCUUUCAUUUUCUCUCUAUCUUCUGCAGUGGUCGGGCAUUGAGUCUGACUCAACUUCACACCUUGUAACACAGGCAAGAACCCUUUCUUUGCUUGAUCCAUUUUGAACUUCUUCAAAAUCUUGUCAAGGUAUGUGCUUUGUGAAAGUCCAAUUAAGCGUCUUGAUCUAUCUCUAUAGAUCUUUAUGCCUAAUAUGUAAGCAGCUUCACUGAGGUCUUUCAUUGAAAAACUCUUAUUCAAGUAUCCCUUUAUGCUAUCCAGAAAUUGUAUAUCAUUUCCAAUCAGUAAUAUGUCAUCCACAUAUAAUAUCAGAAAUGCUACAGAGCUCCCACUCACUUUCUUGUAAAUACAGGCUUCUCCGAAAGUUUGUAUAAAACCAAAUGCAUUGAUCACACUAUCAAAGCGUUUAUUCCAACUCCGAGAGGCUUGCACCAGUCCAUAAAUGGAUCGCUGGAGCUUGCACACUUUGUUAGCUCCCUUUGGAUCGACAAAACCUUCCGGUUGCAUCAUAUACAACUCUUUUUCCAGAAAUCCAUUCAGGAAUGCAGUUUUGACAUCCAUCUGCCAAAUUUCAUAAUCAUAAAAUGCAGCAAUUGCUAACAUGAUUCAGACAGACUUAAGCAUCGCUACGGGUGAGAAGGUCUCAUCGUAGUCAACCCCUUGAACUUGUCGAAAACCUUUUGCGACAAGUCAAGCUUUGUAGACAGUAAUAUUACCGUCAGUGUCAGUCUUCUUCUUGAAGAUCCAUUUAUUCUCAAUUGCUUGCCGAUCAUCGGGCAAGUCAACCAAAGUCCAUACUUUGUUCUCAUACAUGGAUCCCAUCUCAGAUUUCAUGGCUUCAAGCCAUUUUGCUGAAUCUGGGCUCACCAUCGCUUCUUCAUAGUUCGUAGGUUCAUCAUGAUCUAGCAGCACGAUUUCCAGAACAGGAUUACCGUACCACUCUGGCGCGGAUCUCACUCUGGUUGAUCUACAAGGUUCAGUAGUAUCUUGUCCUGAAGUUUCAUGAUUAUUAUCAUUAGCUUCCUCACUUAUUAGUGUAGGUGUUGCAGAAACAGUUUUCUAUGAUGUACUACUUUCCAAUAAGGGAGCGGGUACAGUUACCUCAUCAAGUUCUACUUUCCUCCCACUCACAUCUUUCGAGAGAAACUCCUUCUCCAGAAAGUUUCCGAAUUUAGCAACAAAAGUCUUGCCUUCGGAUCUGUGAUAGAAGGUGUAUCCAAUAGUUUCCUUUGGAUAUCCUAUGAAGACACAUUUCUCCAAUUUGGGUUCGAGCUUAUCAGGUUGAAGCUUUUUCACAUAAGCAUCGCAGCCCCAAACUUUCAGAAACGACAACUUUGGUUUCUUGCCAAACCAUAGUUCAUAAGGUGUCGUCUCAACGGAUUUCGAUGGUGCCCUAUUUAACGUGAAUGCAGCCGUCUCUAAAGCAUAACCCCAAAACGAUAGCGGUAAAUCAGUAAGAGACAUCAUAGAUCGCACCAUAUCUAGUAAAGUACGAUUACGACGUUCGAACACACCAUUACGUUGUGGUGUUCCGGGUGGCGUGAGUUGCGGAACUAUUCCGCAUUGUUUCAAAUGUACACCAAACUCAUAACUCAAAUAUUCUCCUCCACGAUCAGAUCGUAGAAACUUUAUUUUCUUGUUAUGAUGAUUUUCAACUUCACUCUGAAAUUCUUUGAACUUUUCAAAUGUUUCAGACUUAUGUUUCAUUAAGUAGAUAUACCCAUAUCUGCUUAAGUCAUUUAUGAAGGUGAGAAAAUAAUGAUAUCCGCCACGAGCCUCAAUAUUCAUCGGACCACAUACAUCUGUAUGUAUGAUUUCUAACAAAUCUGUUGCUCUCUCCAUAGUACCGGAGAACGGUGUUUUAGUCAUCUUGCCCAUGAGGCACGGUUCGCAAGUACCAAGUGAUUCAUAAUCAAGUGGCUCCAAAAGUCCAUCAGUAUGGAGUUUCUUCAUGCGCUUUACACCGAUAUGACCUAAACGGCAGUGCCACAAAUAAGUUGCACCAUCAUUAUCAACUCUGCAUCUUUUGGCUUCAACAUUAUGAAUAUGUGUAUCACUACUAUCGAGACUCAAUAAGAAUAGACCACUCUUCAAGGGUGCAUGACCAAAAAAGAUAUUACUCAUAUAAAUAGAACAACCAUUAUUCUCUGAUUUAAAUGAAUAACCGUCUCGCAUUAAACAAGAUCCAGAUAUAAUGUUCAUGCUCAACGCUGGCACCAAAUAACAAUUAUUUAGGUCUAAUACUAAUCUCGAAGGUAGAUGUAGAGGUAGCGUGCCGACCGCGAUCACAUCGACUUUGGAACCGUUUCCCACGCGCAUCGUCACCUCGUCCAAUCUUCGCUUAAUCCGUAGUCCCUGUUUCGAGUUGCAAAUAUUAGCAACAGAACCAGUAUCAAAUACCCAGGUGCUACUGCGAGUAUUAGUAAGGUACACAUCAAUAACAUGUAUAUCACAUAUACCUUUGUUCACCUUGCCAUCCUUCUUAUCCGCCAAAUACUUGGGGCAGUUCCGCUUCCAGUGACCAGUCUGCUUGCAGUAGAAGCACUCAGUUUUAGGCUUAGGUCCAGACUUGGUUUCUUCUCUUGAGCAGCAACUUGCUUGCUGUUCUUUUUGAAGUUCCCCUUCUUCUUCCCUUUGCCCUUUUUCUUGAAACUAGUGGUCUUGUUGACCAUCAACACUUGAUGCUCCUUCUUGAUUUCUACCUCGGCAGCUUUUAGCAUUGUGAAGAGCUCGGGAAUAGUCUUAUUCAUCCUGUCGUGGAUUUGUCACGGCAGAUGUCCUAGCGAAAGGACUUAGUCGUGGAGCCAUCGCUACAAGUUUACUUGAAGGGGUUAAAGCGGACACAAAGACACGAGGAUUUUAUACUAGUUCGGCCCCUUCGAUGAAGGUAAAAGCCUACGUCUAGUUGUGAUGGAAUUGAUAUGAUCUCGAUGGCUAGGGAGCAAACAAGCUUCGCCUAGGCUCGAGUUGUGGUUGUCUGUCCUGAACCGCCACCGGGUCGUCCCCUUAUAUACACGGGUGACGCCCGUCGGUCCAUAGAGUCCUAACCGGUUCAUACUCGUAUUCCGGUUGGUAUCUCUCUAUUCCUUACUUACAAUACAAAUCAUACAUCAGGCCGGUUUACGGCUACAUGUUCUAACCGACUACAGGCCUUGGGCCUUCAUCUGUUUACGCCACUAAUGAAGUUAACCCGGCCCAAGUAGGCCGGUUUACGCCUAGUGGUAAUAUCCCCAACAUUAGGCCCCAGAUUGAUUUGAACUGGUUCAUGUCAAUCCUUCACACCAUCUUGUGUCUUGGAUAUCUUCUAUUAAUUGGCAAAUCUCCAUGUCGUCAUUAUUUUUGGUUGCUGUAAAUCGGCAUGACGUCAUCAAUUUUGGUUACUGUAAACCGGCAUGACGUCAUCGCGAAAUUCUUAACGCCCUCUUAAUGACAGUUCCUGGAUUCGCGCGUUUGACCUAGCUCGGUUGCCUUAUAAAUAAGACCGAAGGGUCAUUUCCUUUUUCUUCCCUUCGUCCCUUCUUAUUCUUCUUCUUCCUCACGUCGCCGGCUUUGGAGCUCCGCCACCACCGUCGAUCUCUGCCUCGUCUCGGGCCGCUGCAUCAACCUGAACAUACCAGAGUGUUGCGGCGUCUUUCCGCAUCUUCUCCGUUCCCGGUAAGUUCUCUCUCCUCUUCUUAACCUAGAUCCGUUCUUAGGGUUCCGUGUUCAUGCUGUGUUCAUCACGCGCUCAUAUCUGUUCUCUGAUCUUGAAUGAAUACGCGAACUCUUGCUGUGUUUAGUAGCGAUCCCUAAGCAUCCGCUUGCAACUUCUCAUCUAAUCCCAUAGAUCUCCCGCACAUAUCCGCUCAAUGGUUCACUUCUGUUUCCGCCUUACUCUUCGAAAUAUUUCCUGUUUUUGUGAGCUUGCUGUAGAUCCGCGGUUGUAACACGAUUUUGUGAAAUUUGUUUCUGCAUAACUAGUUAUCCAUAGCUUCAAUUGCUUCCGAUGCUUAGGCCAGGCGGUUUAACUUCACCAUAGGGAAAAAAUUGCUAAACCGGUAUAUAUGUCAUUAGUCCCCCGGUUGAACCGCCAGAAUCCAUCUGAUGCCGCGUUGUAGAAGACCGGUUUAUGGGUACUGCCUCCGGUUUACUGUAAUUAGAUCAACACCUUUUUAUCCGGCAUGUCCUUGAACCGGAUCACCUAUUUCUUGUAGAUCUCAUCAUGGCCAAACAAGUGUACGAGUGCAACUGGGUUCCCUCCCGUGUCACAGAAUCACAGCUGGACGAUCUAGUCCUGAUCGGCGCUUUGGAUAGCAAAGAUACGAUUCACUGGAGGGUUCCUGGAGAUGAAUGCCCUCCCAUGCCCCAGGAAGGAGAGGUCGUGGUCUUCGCAGAUCAUAUGGCCCGGGGCUUCAAACCGCCCGGCUCUAAAUUUUAUCGGGAUGUGUUAGCCAACUUUCAACUCCGUCCACAGGAUAUUGGCCCCAACUCCGUCACCAAUCUAUGCCACUUUCAAGUACUUUCUGAGGCAUACCUUCAAGAGGAACCUUCAGUCGAGUUAUUUAGAGAUCUCUUUCAUCUGAAUCGCCGUACUGAAUUCACUGACGGCCCUAAUACCGAACUGGGCGGUAUGGCCAUUCAGAAAAGGAAAGAAGUCACCUAUCCCCACGUCAAACUCCAUACUCACCCCAAGGAGUGGAACGCAACUUGGUUUUAUUGCAAGGAUACCUCCCCUGACAAUAAAAAUCCCUUGCCUGGCUUCCGUCCGGAACGGCUCAGCAACACUCACCCUUUUCCACAAAGGCUAAGCGCCAAGGAGAGAAUUAAAUAUUCUCCUCAACUGUCCAAGCUCCGGGCCUUCAUGGCCAAUGGUUUAACAGGAAUAGACCUUGCACGCUGCUGGAUAUCAUGGAGCAUUUUGCCUCUAAGCCGGCGCUCCAAUUUGAUGUGCAAGUAUACUGAUAGUGUCGAUGACCCACUCCGACACACUAAAAUCCAACUCCGUGAUGACGAAGUCACAGAAUCUGUGAAAAAGAUGUUGAAUGAACCGGAGCACCUCUGUGCUCAAACCGGUCUGCCUCCUUAUUGCUCCUCCAACAAACCGCCAGCGGUAAUAUUUUAAUUGCCCUAUUGUUGAACCGGUUACUGCUUUAUAUGUUUAACAUUUAAUUACUGUUGAUCCAGGACGAUAAUCCGUUUUGGAGCAAGAAACUUCCUCAAGACAAAACGGAGAAGGCAGGACGUCCAACCCGGCCAAAGACCAAGGUUAUCAAGAAACCAGCUCAUAAGAGAAAAACCACCGCUUCAUCUGACCCAGCCAUUGAUGAUGAUGUGGGUAAUCCGGAUCUUGAGGUAGAACUUGAUUCACUUGGCUUGCUUUUUACACGCCUUAUUGAUGAUAAUGCUUGUCAGGAUGACGCUGAAGCCAGCAAUGCGGGUUUUGUUGAGGUAACCAUUCUCUCUUCCGAUUCAGAAAUCUUGCCUUUGCCAAAAUUUCGUCGGGCAAACCGGAAAGUUAAAUUUUCUCAUCCUCUUGCUUAUCUGAAUUCCCAAUUUCUUAUGAAGACCCAGCAACACGAAGCUCACCGCACAACCCGGCACAGUGGCCAGGUAGUUACCUCUGCCGGUUUACCAAACAGUCCGGUUUGAAAACGCCGCUCCGAGGUCUCCGACCUUUUUAUUGAUUUAAAUCGCAAAGCGGGUUUCUUCCGUCAACCUCUUAAUCCAUCUGACUCCAAUUAUCAGGUCACUUCUCAUUCAUCUUCUGGUGAAUCGUCAGCCACUCAGCUACCACCUUUGAAAACAGUUGUCGGGUAAGUUAAACUGAACAUAUGCUUCCAGUAUACCGCAUAAUGGCUUACGCUUUUCCUUGACUUUUUGUUUUUCCUUCAGGGCUAAACCGAAACCAAGCAAGAAGGCCCGCCUGGAUAAAGCGGCUGAAGAAGAUGUAGCCCCAGAACAUGACCAAGCGCCAGAUCAUGAAAUGUUUACUUCUGAAGAUAUCCCCAAUGAUCCUCCUUUGCAAGACGACGUUAUUCCCGAAGAAGGGCUUGUUAAUACUCCAGCCUCUGCCGAUCCGCCUACCAGCUCCAUAGAGAAAUCCCACACUCCUGCUGACCAAACGGCCGCACCAACACAAACUGGCGAGUCCAAAGAUGAUGAUGUUGUGAUUACCGGUGUGGGCCGCUCUGAACCCGGAAAUCCUAACACCCUUACCAAGCAUACCAUCAAGGAGGAUUUUUCCGCUUUGAACAAAGGAAAAUGGGAUGUUGAACUAGAGACAUAUGCCGCUCUGAGUGCCCAAGAUCUUUACUCCGGUUAUUUAAACCGGCUUUACACUAGCCGUGACUGCGACGCUGGCCUGGUCAAAAUGAUGAAGGAUAAAUUUGAGGUAACUUACUUCUUCCCUUGCUGCCGUUACCUUCAUCCUUCUAGCCCCCAAGGGCCGGUUUGUAACGUUGGCCAAACCGGGACUUGAUCCGGAACAUUCUUGAACACCGAUCGGUAUAGCCCGCAAGAACCGGUCUAACUUAGUAUAAGUAAACCGGGGCUCCAAUAGAGAACUGUCCUUAGAACAUAAUUUGAUCAAAUAGCCAUUAGCCCCCAAGUGCCAAGUUGAAUACUUGUAUUAAGCUUGGGACUUUGUGAUCAAAUAAUAUAUAAAAAUUGAAGGUGCAUUAGCCCCCAAGUGUCAGGCAUAUAACUUUGUUAUGUGGUUGAAACUUCAACUCCUUGGAUCGCCUGUGCAAAGCUUAAACGCUGUCUAUGUGCAGGCUGAGGUGAAAAUCAAGGAGGACCGAGUUGCCAAUUUACAGGAGGCCUUGAAAACCCAGCAGGCUGAAACAGAUAAGGUAAAGCAAGAAUUAACCAGCGCUUUGAGCACUGCUGAACGGCUGAAAGAAAGCUUCAAGAAAGAGCGGGCUAACUGGGCCACUGAGAAGGCCGGUUUAACCAAAAGAGCGGAAAAUGCUGAAGCGGCCCUUAAACCGGUGGUGGAUGAACUGACGGCCGUACAGCGGAAAAUACACUCCAUGACUGCUGCAACCUUUGGUAAGCUCCUUGUAACUUCUGUGAUAAAUUUGAAUCUGUUGUAUCGUAAAUCCGGUUUGAGACCAUUCCAAUCUUGUUGUAGGCACACGUAUUGGGCACUUAGGAAAUGAUGUGCGGAAGAAAUUGAAAGCUGCCUACACCUUGGUGGAACAAUUGUAUACCGAAGCCCAACGGAUCAUCACCUCAGCUUCUCACAACAACCCGGCGCCCUCUUUAAUCCAGGACACUCUUAGCAAGUUGUCAAUGCUUCCAGCACGGAUUGAGGAGCUGAAAAAAUCCGCUGCCCGAACCGGAGCCAUCAAUGCCUUAAUCCGGGCAAAGGCAUGGGUGCCCGACUUUGAUCCUGUAGAAGCGGCUCAAGGCUAUCCCAGUCUGAAAGAAGAUGGCUCUGAAUUCAACGAAGAAGAUUUAAGGGCCAUAAACCGUGCAGUGCGCCCGCUGGCUUGCCAGCUAGCUGAAGAGGCAGAUUUGACGCAUUAUCAAGCGCAAUAUAAUAAUCAAAACAAGCGAGUGCCUGCCCCAACUGUUGAAGCGGAGAAUCUGAUUCCUCCAAUCCGUAAGCACACUUACGCCCCUGAUAUUGAACCAUCUUCCCUGAUCCAUGAAGAGGCUGUUUUCCAAGCUUUAAUGGGAAUCGACUGGACCACUGUUGAUUUCCAGCCAAUGGGUAGAGACGAGGAAGCUGAAGCGGCGGAGGAUGAGGAGCAGGCUUGAACCGGAAGCCGGUUUGAAGAGCUAUUUGCAACAUCCUUCCAAAAAAACAAUGAUUUUGUUUGAGCACCAUGCUGCCUUGUAAUAGGAUAGUUAAAACUUCUGCCUGGCAUAUGCCUUCGUGCAUAAGUACUGAAGCUUUUGCUUGAAAAACUUUAAUUUAUAUUUCCUGCAAUCAGAAAAAUUUGAACUUCGGUGGCGGUUAUACCGUCAGCCGGAUUAUGAUCUUGAUGUGUGUAUUAGUAAUAUAACAAAUAGAUGAUACAUAAAUACCUGCCAUGUUUGAGCAUAAAGCUGGCUUUAGCCAAGCCUGAAGCGGUGGUUUUAUAAACCAUUACCGUCAAAAAGGGAGAAAAUAGCUCCCAUACAAACCGUACUGACUUAACAUGAGCCCCCUGGUUACUCCAUGAUGUUAACAGGGAAAAGGUAAACCAGGCAGACUCCUCCCGUUUUAAAGGGGAAUCAAAAAUCAUUGGCUAAACCGGAAAAAAUAUGCUUGUUGAUAUAAAAGAAAUCCAACAAAGAAUGAACAAACCAUGAAAACAACAUGGAAGCAAAGGCAAUGAUAAAAAACCAUUUGCAAAAAUAUGCUAUACUGAGUUGUUCAGAUGGUAUUACCAUGGUCGGACAGGAUCAAGGCCCCCAAUAGGAGUGACAAUGAUUCAAGUCAGCCAGGUCCCCAAAUGACUCGUGGCAUAUAUGCCAGAUCAAGAGGCGUGACAAUGGUUCGGGUUCGACCAUGCCCCCAAGUGAUUUUGUGGCCUUAGGCCGACCAAGAGGCGUGACUGGUUCAGACUUGACCAUGUCCCCAAAUGAUCUGGUGGCUGUCGCCUAUCAAAGGGUGUUCGUUGGUUCGGACACGACCAAGGCCCCCAGUGAUAUAUAAAAAACAAAUGUCAAGGGGUAAACCGGAGGCUGCUUUAAACAGAACCACUCCGUGUAACCUCGCAUGAUGAGAAAGACAGAGACCCCGCUUUAGCUGAGGCUCCGGUUUGAUAUAUCAAAGAUAAUAUAUACAUUGUCAUGAUAUGUACAUAGAUAGAGCCGAUGGCUCAAGUAUAGUAAGGCCGAAGAUGAGCUAUAUUCCACGGCCUGUUGGUCUCCUCCUCUGAUGUACGUGAGUCUUGAUGCCCUCGAAUAUCAAUCAGAUAGUACGACCCGUUGUGCAAAUUUUUGCUGACCACGAAAGGUCCCUCCCAAGGUGGGGAUAACUUGUGCAUAUCCGUUUGAUCUUGGAUGAGUCGAAGCACCAAAUCUCCUUCUUGAAAAGUUCUGGUUCUAACCCGGCGACUGUGAUAGCGACGAAGAUCUUGCUGGUAAAUCGCCGAACGGGCAGCCGCUAUAUCACGCUCCUCGUCCAAUAGGUCCAAAGCGUCUUGCCGUGCUGUCUCAUUGUCUGCUUCAACAUAGGCUGCCACACGAGGCGAAUCAUGCCGGAUGUCACUAGGGAGAACUGCCUCUGCUCCAUAGACCAUGAAAAAUGGCGUAUAUCCUGUGGACCGGUUUGGCGUAGUAUUGAUACUCCAUAACACAGAUGGUAGCUCUUCAACCCAACAUCCUGGUGUUCUUUGCAACGGGACCAAAAGCCGGGGUUUGAUGCCUCGCAAGAUUUCCUGAUUAGCUCGUUCUGCCUGUCCGUUGGACUGGGGGUGCGCCACUGACGACACAUCAAGUCGGAUGUGCUCACGUUCACAGAACUCCUUCAUAGCACCCUUGGAUAAAUUGGUACCAUUGUCAGUAAUGAUACUGUGUGGAAAACCAAACCGGAAAAUCAUCUUCUUGAUGAACUGCACCGCUGUUGCUGCAUCACACUUGCUGACAGGCUCCGCUUCAACCCACUUGGUAAAUUUGUCAACUGCCACCAAAAGGUGGGUUUUCUUAUCCUUGGAUCUUUUAAAAGGCCCAACCAUAUCCAGCCCCCAAGUUGCAAACGGCCAUGUUAUUGGGAUCAUCCUCAAUUCUUGAGCCGGCACAUGAGCACGCCUUGAAAAUUUCUGACAUCCAUCACACCGUUUAACCAAGUCCUCCGCAUCAGCAUACGCUGUCAACCAGUAGAACCCGUGACGAAACGCCUUUGCCACCAGAGACUUUGAACCGGCGUGGUGCCCACAAUCCCCUUCAUGGAUUUCUCUUAAGAUUUCAUAGCCUUCCUUAGGAGAAACACAACGUUGAAACGCCCCUGAUACACUGCAAUGAUGUAAUUCACCAUUGACAAUCGUCAUAGAUUUGGAUCGCCGGACUAUCUGCCUGGCCAGAAUCUCAUCCUCUGGUAACUCCCCCCGGUUCAUGUACGCAAGAUAAGGAACUGUCCAAUCCGGAAUAACAUGCAGGGCUGCCACCAACUGAGCAUCCGAAUCAGGGAUAGCCAAAUCCACCUCACCUGGGAGCUUGACUGACGGGUUGUGCAACACGUCCAAAAAGACGUUAGGCGGGACCGGUUUACGCUGAGAGCCCAACCGACUUAAAGCAUCCGCUACUUCAUUCUUCCGACGGUCCACAUGAUCCACUUGAUAACCCUUGAAAUAACCUGCAAUAUUAUCCACUUCCCGGCGAUAUGCAGCCAUGAGCGGGUCUUUAGAAUCCCAAGUGCCAGACACCUGUUGAGCCACUAGGUCCGAGUCACCAAAGCACUUAACCCGGCUUAAAUUCAUCUCUUUAGCCAUCCGGAGACCAUGGAGCAAGGCUUCGUACUCAGCUGCAUUAUUAGUACAAGGAAACAUUAAGCAGAGAACAUAGCAAAACUUAUCACCUCGUGGGGAAGUUAAUACGACCCCAGCCCCCGAGCCUUCCAAUUGCCUGGAUCCGUCAAAAUGAAUAGUCCAAUAUGUGUGAUCCGGCUUCUCCUCUGGUGCUUGUAACUCCGUCCAAUCAUUGAUGAAAUCAACAAGUGCUUGAGACUUCACUGCCGUCCGAGGCACGUACUUCAGUCCGUGUGGCCCAAGCUCUAUAGCCCACUUGGCAAUCCGGCCAGUCGUCUCCCGAUUCUGUAUAAUAUAACCCAAGGGAGCUGAACUGACCACUGUGAUGGGGUGCCCUUGAAAAUACUGCUUCAACUUCCGACUGGCCAUAAAAACACCAUAGACCAGCUUCUGCCAAUGCGGAUACCUUUGCUUGGAUUCAAUAAGCACCUCGCUGAUAUAAUAAACCGGCCGCUGAACCGGAUAUUCCUUGCCUGCCUCUUUGCGCUCCACCACAAUAGCCACGCUAACUGCCCGAGCAUUGGCCGCUACGUAUAAUAAUAGUGGCUCCUUGUCGAUCGGAGCUGCAAGAACAGGCGGAUUGGCUAACUGCCGCUUCAGGUCCUCAAAUGCCUCAUCAGCAGCUGGACUCCAGACGAAAUUGUCUGUCUUCCUCAGCAUUUGGUACAAAGGGAUAGCCUUCUCCCCGAGGCGGCUGAUAAACUGGCUCAGCGCAGCGAUUCGGCCCGCCAAACGCUGGACAUCGUUGAUACACUUCGGUUUAGCUAGGGAUGUAAUAGCCGUAAUCUUCUCCGGAUUAGCCUCAAUUCCUCUGUUAGACACCAGGAAACCCAGUAACUUGCCUGCCGAAACACCAAAAACACACUUGGCCGGAUUAAGCAUCAUCCUGUAAGCUCGCAAGUUGUCAAAGGUCUCCUUCAAAUCAUCCACCAGCGUCUCCUUCUGUCUUGAUUUUACUACAAUAUCAUCCACAUAGGCGUGCACAUUGCGGCUGAUCUGCUCAUGCAGGCAAUUCUGUACACACCGUUGAUAGGUGGCUUGGGCACUCUUGAGCCCGAAGGGCAUAGAUACAUAGCAGAAGGCUCCAAAGGGAGUAAUAAAUGCCGUUUUUUCCUGGUCCUUAACCGCCAUCUUAAUAUGAUGAUAUCCAGAGUAUGCAUCCAAAAAACUCAAACGCUCACACCCCGCCGUGGCAUCAAUGAUCUGGUCAAUACGGGGGAGGGCAAAAGGAUCUGCCGGACAGUCUUUGUUAAGAUCUGUGUAAUCCACACACAUACGCCAAGUGCCGUUUUUCUUAAGAACCAGCACCGGAUUGGCAAGCCACUCUGGAUGGACCACCUCAAUAAUAAAACCAGCUGCUAAAAGCCUGGCCACUUCCUCUCCAAUGGCUUUGCGUCUUUCUUCGUUAAACCGGCGGAGGAACUGUUUCACCGGUUUAUACUUAGGAUCCACAUUAAGAGUGUGCUCAGCGAGUUCCCUCGGUACACCUGGCAUGUCAGACGGCUUCCAUGCAAAAAUGUCCCGAUUCUCACGGAUGAACUCGAUGAGCGCGCUUUCCUAUUUGGGAUCUAGGUUGGCACUGAUAGUGAACUGCUUGGACGAAUCGCCGGGCACGAAGUCAACAAGCUUGGUCUCAGCUGCCGAUUUGAACUUCAGAUCUGAAUCAUGCUCUGUAGUUGGCUUCUUUAAAGGGGUCAUAUCCGCCGGAUCAACAUUGUCCUUAUAAUACUUCAACUCCUCCGUGGCACAGACUGACUCUGCAUAAGCCGCAUCACCCUCUUGACAUUCCAAAGCGAUCCUACGGUUCUCGUGAACCGUUAUCGUCCCCUUGUAACCCGGCAUCUUGAGCUGUAAGUAGAUAUAACAAGGCCGUGCCAUGAACUUGGCAUAAGCCGGCCGCCCAAACAAGGCGUGAUACGGGCUCCGGAUCUUCACCACUUCGAAGUUUAAUUUUUCCGACCGAGAAUCGUGCUCGUCCCCAAAAGCCACAUCUAGGGCUAUCUUACCAACAGGAUAUGCAGAUUUGCCUGGCACAACACCAUGGAAUACUGUAUUCGACGGUCUGAGAUCCUUGUCUGUCAGUCCCAUGCGCCGGAAUGUCUCAUAGUAUAGUAUGUUAAUACUGCUUCCUCCAUCCAUGAGUACCUUGGUGAAUUUAUAACCCCCCACCUGAGGGUCUACCACUAAUGCUAGCUGGCCCGGAUUAUCAACCUGGGGCGGGUGAUCCUCUCUGCUCCACACGAUAGACUGCUCCGACCAGCGCAAGUAACGUGGUAAGGCCGGUUCAACAGAAUUCACCGCUCGCCUGUGGAGUUUUUGGUCGCGCUUAUCCAAGCCAGUUGUGAAGACAUGGUAUUGCCCAUUGCUCAACUGCUUUGGCUGGCUCUGAUAACCUGACUGCUGCUGCUGCUGGCCGUUCUGAUUAUUCUGGCUAUUUGUGACUGCCCUGAUUGAAACCUGAACCGGAAGCUCCAUCGUGACCCGGACCGUGUAAACCGGAUCCUGAACCGCCACCUGACCCAUGGUCAUACCGGAAGGCAUUAGAGUUUUUAAACUCCCGCGUAAUAUAACAAUCCUUCCAAAGGUGGUUAGCCGGUGUCUCCUUCGUCCCAUGCUUUGGGCAAGGCUGAUUUAACAAAUGAUUCAAACGGCUUGCAUUAGGAUUGGGGGCCCCAUUAUGAUCUGCCGCCUUACCUCUGCGCCGCUGCCCCCUGUCCUGUGCAUUAGCGUUGGCCACAAAAUCCAUGCUACCCUCCGCCUUGCGUUUGCCUCCGUUUCCAUGACCCGUCGGUUUGUACUGCUGCUGUUUAGAGUUGCUAUUCUUCCUUCCCUUCCCUGUUUCAUCAUCAUCAGGUUCGGGAUCCUUGGUACUGUCUGAAUCGGCAUACUUUACUAAAGCAGCCAUGAGGGUUCCCAUGUCAUUACAGAACCGCUUCAUGCGUCCCAAUUUCAAUUUUAGAGGCUCAAACCGGCAGUUGCCUUCCAGAGUUAAGAUCACAGAGUCAGCAUUAAUCCUGUCCGAUGAGUGCAAAAUUUCCGAAACGCGGCGCACCCAACAGGUCGUUGAUUCUCCUUCCUCCUGGACACAAGCCACCAGGUCUACUAUGGACUUGGGCUGCAUACAUGUAUCCAUAAAAUUCUGUAUAAAUCGGGCCCGCAACUGGGCCCAUGAGCUGAUAGAAUUGGGUGGCAGGCUCUUUAACCAAGUACGAGCCGUGCCCUCAAGCAUCAUGGUGAAGUAUUUUGCACAUGCGGCCUCAUCCACGUCCAGCAUCUCCAUGGCCAUCUCAUAACUCUCUACCCAUGCUUCAGGGGGUAAAUCAGCGGUGUAAUUCGGCACCUUGCGUGGACCCUUGAAAUCUUUGGGCAGGCGCACAUUACGUAAAGCUGGGAUUAAGCAAGGCACUCCCAAAGCGGAUGUGAUCCCUGGUCCGGCAAAGGUUGUAGAACGAACCGGUGUAAGUUGGCCCGCAUUAUCCUGUGCUGCUAACUCGGCCUCCCUUUGUGCCCGGGCCCGGUCCACCACAUCCUGAGCAUCUCCAACACCACCUGCCGGGUCAUGACCACGGGCCGCUUCACGGCCUCGCGCAUUGCUUGAUAUGGUCGGUUCCUCCACGCGCCUGCUAUAGCUCCAGCUCGGCCGGGGCAUAGAAUGAAUCCGAUCACGGCUGUAUGAGUAGGCCUCCUGCUGAAUCAGUGCAGUCCGGAGAAGCUCCUUAACCCGGCGCGUCUCUAUCGCUUGCGGAGAAUCCCCUUCGAAUGGGAUGGCCUCUAACCGUGCAGCGGCCGCAACAAGGUUGUCCAUAGGAUUCGAAUAAUGACUCGGGGGUGUCUGGACCGGCGGAGGAACCACAAUGUUUUGGUGAGGAGGUUCCAUCAGGCGAGGUUGGACCGUCGCCCCUGGCCCUGGUGCCUCAAUCCGGUUUGUCUCCGGGUACUGCGGCGGAUUACUGGGUCCAGCUCCUGGAGUGUGAAAGAGAUUUCGGGGGUCAAACUCUAACGGCAGGCGUGAUCUGUGCUUCCGCUUCAAAACCUCAUGUGAUGCAUUCUGGUCAAGCAUGAGCUUAUAGGCCUGGGCGUCCAAAGCGGCCCGCUCUGCCGCCAUCCUGUCCUUCUCUGCUGCCAGAUCCGCUUUGGCUCGCGCGGUCUGUUCUUUCACCUUUGCAAUUUCUACAUCAUGAGCCUCCUGAUCCGCCGGAUUGGCUUCCACCAUAAGCGCGGCCAGUGCGUCAAACAGGUCGGAUAGGACUUGAACCGGCGGGCGCAUAAGGCCUCCUGCCCCUGCUGCCGCUGCCGCUGCUGAUCCAGAGAGCACUGCUGCGGCGGUCGAAGAGUGGUUCGCCGCCUGGGUGCCGGCCAUGAAUAUUCCAACCCGGUUGACCGGGCCUGGGGGGUCCAGAAUACUGUCGCCAUCGGAACAGCCCCUAAUCUGGUCGUCUUGCAACUGGUAUAGCGAUUCGGUCUCUCCGGCUGAGGACUCGUCGCCGGAAUAGACAACGGUCUCGCUACCGUGUUCUGACUCGUCCUCACGCUCACCUUCGUGGACGACUCCAACGAAGACACGCUUCACGGCCGGUUUAACCCGGGUAGAUCUCGCACGCUGAGCCGUCUCGAUGAGGUUGGUGCAGAUGUCCGGCUCAGGCCCAGGCUCACCGAUUUUGCCAAUGAAAACAUGUAUGCCACCAAAGGGGACCCGGUACCCGUACUCGAUUGAAUCGGCCUCGGGACCCCAUCCUGCGUCGUUGAUGUAGAUCCUGCCCCGACGACUCUUGGUCAUCCGGCCCACAACAUAGCCUUCGAGUCCCUUGAGCUUGCCCUCCAAGAUCGUCAAACCAUCGUGCGAUAGCCCCACGGUGGGCGCCAACUGUCGUGGAUUUGUCAUGGCAGAUGUCCUAGCGAAAGGACUUAGUCGUGGAGCCAUCGCUACAAGUUUACUUGAAGGGGUUAAAGCGGACACAAAGACACGAGGAUUUUAUACUAGUUCGGCCCCUUCGAUGAAGGUAAAAGCCUACGUCUAGUUGUGAUGGAAUUGAUAUGAUCUUGAUGGCUAGGGAGCAAACAAGCUUCGCCUAGGCUCGAGUUGUGGUUGUCUGUCCUGAACCGCCACCGGGUCGUCCCCUUAUAUACACGGGUGACGCCCGUCGGUCCAUAGAGUCCUAACCGGUUCAUACUCGUAUUCCGGUUGGUAUCUCUCUAUUCCUUACUUACAAUACAAAUCAUACAUCAGGUCGGUUUACGGCUACAUGUUCUAACCGACUACAGGCCUUGGGCCUUCAUCUGUUUACGCCACUAAUGAAGUUAACCCGGCCCAAGUAGGCCGGUUUACGCCUAGUGGUAAUAUCCCCAACACAUCCCUUGCAUAUUAUAGUUCAUCACGAAGCUCUUGUAGCUUGGUGGCAGUGAUUGGAGAAUUCUGUCAAUGACGCAAUCAUCUGGAAGAUUAACUCCCAUCUGAAUCAAGUGAUUAUUAUACCCAGACAUUUUGAGUAUAUGCUCAUUGACAGAACUGUUCUCCUCCAUCUUGCAGCUAUAGAACUUAUUGGAGACUUCAUAUCUCUCAAUCCGGGCAUUUGCUUGAAAUAUUAACUUCAACUCCUGGAACAUCUCAUAUGCUCCAUGACGUUCAAAACGUCGUUGAAGUCCCGAUUCUAAGCCGUAAAGCAUGGCACACUGAACUAUCGAGUAGUCAUCAGCUUUGCUCUGCCAGAUGUUCAUAACAUCUGGUGUUGCUCCAGCAGCAGGCCUGGCACCCAGCGGUGCUUCCAGGACGUAAUUCUUCUGUGCAGCAAUGAGGAUAAUCCUCAAGUUACGGACCCAGUCCGUGUAAUUGCUACCAUCAUCUUUCAACUUUGCUUUCUCAAGGAAUGCAUUAAAAUUCAACGGAACAACAGCACGGGCCAUCUAUCUACAAUCAAACAUACAUAAGCAAGAUACUAUCAGGUACUAAGUUCAUGAUAAAUUUAAGUUCAAUUAAUCAAAUUACUUAAAGAACUCCCACUUAGAUAGACAUCCCUCUAAUCCUCUAAGUGAUCACGUGAUCCAAAUCAACUAAACCAUGUCUGAUCAUCACGUGAGAUGGAGUAGUUUCAUUGGUGAACAUCACUAUGUUGAUCAUAUCUACUAUAUGAUUCACGCUCGACCUUUCGGUAUCCGUGUUCCGAGGCCAUAUCUGUAUAUGCUUGGCUCGUCAAGUAUAACCUGAGUAUUCCGCGUGUGCAACUGUUUUGCACCCGUUGUAUUUGAACGUAGAGCCUAUCACACCCGAUCAUCACGUGGUGUCUCAGCACGAAGAACUUUCGCAACGGUGCAUACUCAGGGAGAACACUUCUUGAUAAUUUAGUGAGAGAUCAUCUUAUAAUGCUACCGUCAAUCAAAGCAAGAUAAGAUGCAUAAAAUAUAAACAUCACAUGCAAUCAAUAUAAGUGAUAUGAUAUGGCCAUCAUCAUCUUGUGCCUGUGAUAUCCAUCUCCGAAGCACCAUCAUGAUCACCAUCGUCAUCAGCGCGACACCUUGAUCUCCAUCGUAGCAUCGUUGUCGUCUCGCCAAUCUUAUGCUUCCAUGACUAUCGCUACCGCUUAGUGAUAAAGUAAAGCAUUACAGUGCGAUUGCAUUCCAUACAAUAAAGCGACAACCAUAUGGCUCCUACCAGUUGCCGAUAACUCGGUUACAAAACAUGAUCAUCUCAUACAAUAAAAUUCAGCAUCAUGUCUUGACCAUAUCACAUCACAACAUGCCCUGCAAAAACAAGUUAGACGUCCUCUACUUUGUUGUUGCAAGUUUUACGUGGCUGCUACGGGCUUAAGCAAGAACCAAUCUUACCUACGCAUCAAAACCACAACGAUAGUUUGUCAAGUUGGUGCUGUUUUAACCUUCGCAAGGACCGGGCGUAGCCACACUCGGUUCAACUAAAGUUGGAGAAACUGUCACCCGCAAGCCACCUAUGUGCAAAGCACGUCGGGAGAACCGGUCUCGCGUAAUCCUACGCGUAAUGUCGGUCCGGGCUGCUUCAUCCAACAAUACCGCCGAACCAAAGUAUGACAUGCUGAUAAGCAGUAUGACUUAUAUCGCCCACAACUCACUUGUGUUCUACUCGUGCAUAUAACAUCAACACAUAAAACCUAGGCUCGGAUGCCACUGUUGGGGAACGUAGUAAUUUCAAAAAUUUCCUACGCACACGCAAGAUCAUGGUGAUGCAUAGCAACGAGAGGGAAGAGUGUGAUCUACGUACCCUUGUAGAUCGAAAACGGAAGCGUUUGGUUGAUGUAGACGUACGUCUCCACGGCCCGACCGAUCAAGCACCGAAACUAUGGCACCUCCGAGUUUUAGCACACGUUCAGCUCGAUGACGAUCCCCGGACUCCGAUCCAGCAAAGUGUCAGGGAAGAGUUCCGUCAGCACGACGGCGUGGUGACGAUCUUGAUGUACUACUGUCGCAGGGCUUCGCCUUAGCACCGCUACAAUAUUAUCGAGGACUAUGGUGGCAGGGGGCGCCGCACACGGCUAAGAAUAUGAUCACGUGGAUCAACUUGUGUCUCUUGGGGUACCCCUGCCUCCGUAUAUAAAGGUUCAAGAGGGGGAGGCCGGCCGGCCACCAUAGGGCGCGCCAGGAGGAGUCCUACUCCCUCCGGGAGUAGGACUUCUCCCCCAAUCCUAGUUGGAAUAGGAUUCGCGAGGUGGGAACGGAGAGAGAGAGAGAGAAGGAAGGGGGCGCCGGCCCCCUCUCUCCUUGUCCUAUUCGGACUAGGGGGGAGGGGCGCGCGGCCCAGCCCUGGCUGCCUCUCCUCUUCUUCCACUAAGGCCCAUUAAGGCCCAUGUACCUCCCGGGGGGUUCCGGUAACCUCCCGGUACUCCGGUAAAAUCCCGAUUUCACCCGGAACACUUCCGAUAUCCAAACAUAGGCUUACAAUAUAUCAAUCUUUAUGUCUCGACCAUUUCGAGACUCCUCGUCAUGUCCGUGAUCACAUCCGAGACUCCGAACAACCUUCGGUACAUCAAAACGUAUAAACUCAUAAUAUAACUGUCAUCGAAACCUUAAGCGUGCGGACCCUACGGGUUCGAGAACAAUGUAGACAUGACCGAGACAUGUCUCCGGUCAAUAACCAAUAGCGGGACCUGGAUGCCCAUAUUGGCUCCUACAUAUUCUAUGAAGAUCUUUAUCGGUCAGACCGCAUAACAACAUACGUUGUUCCCUUUGUCAUCGGUAUGUUACUUGCCCGAGAUUCGAUCGUCGGUAUCCAAUACCUAGUUCAAUCUUGUUACCGACAAGUCUCUUUAGUCGUUCCGUAAUACAUCAUCUCGCAACUAACUCAUUAGUUGCAUCGCUUGCAAGGCUUAAGUGAUGUGCAUUACCGAGAGGGCCCAGAGAUACCUCUCCGACGAUCGGAGUGACAAAUCCUAAUCUCGAAAUAUGUCAACCCAACAUGUACCUUUGGAGACACCUGUAGAGCACCUUUAUAAUCACCCAGUUACGUUGUGACGUUUGGUAGCACACAAAGUGUUCCUCCGGCACACGGGAGUUACAUAAUCUCAUAGUCAUAGGAACAUGUAUAAGUCAUGAAGAAAGCAAUAGCAACAUACUAAACGAUCGGGUGCUAAGCUAAUGGAAUGGGUCAUGUCAAUCAGAUCAUUCAACUAAUGAUGUGAUCCCGUUAAUCAAAUGACAACUCUUUGUCCAUGGUUAAGAAACUUAACCAUCUUUGAUUGACGAGCUAGUCAAGUAGAGGCAUACUAGUGACACUCUGUUUGUCUAUGUAUUCACACAUGUAUUAUGUUUCCGGUUAAUACAAUUCUAGCAUGAAUAAUAGACUUUUAUCAUGAUAUAAGGAAAUAAAUAAUAACUUUAUUAUUGCCUCUAGGGCAUAUUUCCUUCAAGUGAGGGAGGAUGAGAGGGGGACGUGGGGGUCGCGUGGCAUCCCUGGACGUCUCCAUGCGUCGGCAGAAGUAGGAGGUGGCCGGCGUGUGGCCGCGGGCGCCGGCCACGCGCUCCGCGUCCUUCUGGCGCGAGGAGGACGACGACUGGCAGCGCCAGUAGGCUGGGCCGAGCCAGGUGGGCUGGCCAGCACAGGUAAGGCCCAGGUGGGCUUCCCUCUCUCUUUUCUUUCUGUUUGUUUUCUUUUUUCUAUUUAACUGCAACUGUUGGGCUUUAUUAAAAAUACUAAAACGUUUCCAAAAAUUCUGAAAAUAAAUGUGAGCUCUGUUUAGAAUAUUUCCAACGGGAAACAUUUAUUCCCAGAAUUAUUUGAGCAUUUAAAUUAUUUUAUAUUAUUUAAAUGCCCAAAUUCAAAUACUUAUGAUUUAAUUCAAUGACCUUCUGUUGACCUAAAAAAUUGUGCAUCAAUUUUGCCAGAGGUUUUAACCCAAGACAAAGAGGGUAAACUUUUUAGAAGGGCAUUUCAGGUUCAUUGAAAAUAAUUUUAGUAAACCCUAGUUGUUUCCAGGGGGUGCUGGGGGUUCUGUCUUCCCCAUUUCAAAUUUAGUAGGAAAUUAAACAUGAUGCACACUUUAAUGCUUGAACUAAACUAGGGUGUGACAGCCAUCGUCAUCACCAACGCUCCUCUCAUCGGGAGAGGGCAAUCUCCAUCAACAUCUUCAUCAGCACCAUCUCCUCUCAAAACCCUAGUUCAUCUCUUGUAUCCAAUUCUUGUCUCCAAGUCCGGGAUUGGUACUAGUAGGUUGCUAGUAGUGUUAAUUACUCCUUGUAGUUGAUGCUAGUUGGUUUAUUUGGUGGAAGAUCAUAUGUUCAAAUCCUAUAUGCAUAUUAAUACCCCUCUGAUUAUGAACAAGAAUAUGCUUUGUGAGUAGUUACGUUUGUUCCUGAGGACAUGGGAGAAGUCUUGCUAUUAGUAGUCAUGUGAAUUUGGUAUUCGUUCGAUAUUUUGAUGAGAUGUAUGUUGUCUCUCCUCUAGUGGUGUUAUGUGAACGUCGACUACAUAACACUUCACCAUUAUUUGGGCCCAGAGGAAGGCAUUGGGAAGUAAUAAGUAGAUGAUGGGUUGCUAGAGUGACAGAAGCUUAAACCCUAGUUUAUGCGUUGUUUCGUAAGGGGCUGAUUUGGAUCCAUAUGUUUCAUGCUAUGGUUAGGUUUACCUUAAUACUUUUGUUGUAGUUGCGGAUGCUUGCAAUAGAGGUUAAUCAUAAGUGGGAUGCUUGUCCAAGUAAGGACAGUACCCAAGCACCGGUCCAUCCACAUACCAAAUUAUCAAAGUACCAAACGCGAAUCAUAUGAACGUGAUGAAAACUAGUUUGGCGAUAUUCGCAUGUGUCCUCGGGAGCGCUUUUCUCUAUAUAAGAGUUUGUCCAGGCUUGUCCUUUGCUACAAAAAGGAUUGGGCCACCUUGCUGCACUUUAUUUACUUUUGUUACUUGUUGCUCGUUACAAAUUAUCCUAUCACAAAACUAUCUGUUACCACUUAUUUCAGUACUUGCAGAGAAUACCUUGCUGGAAACCGCUUAUCAUUUCCUUCUGCUCCUCGUUGGGUUCGACACUCUUACUUAUCGAAAGGACUACGAUAGAUCCCCUAUACUUGUGGGUCAUCACUGCGCCAGUGGCUGCUUCACCACCUUGUACACGUCUUUAAAAGGGGUAAUUAAACUUGUUAAUUACAAGCAUGUACUCAAGUUUGGACUAUCAUGUUCUACAGGAGAACCGAAUAUGCUUGAGGAAGCUCUUGGUGAUGCAAGGUGGAAAAAUUCUAUGGUUGAAGAAUACAUGGAACUUAAGAGAAAUAAGACUUGGCAUAUCGUUUCCCCACAGCAAGAUAAAGACUUGAUUGACUGCAAAUGGGUAUUCAGAAUCAAGAGAAAAUCUGAUGGAACUAUAGAUAGGUACAAAGCUAGACUUGUUGCAAAAGGCUUUAAACAGCGUUAUGGCAUAGACUAUGAAGACACCUUCAGUCCGGUUGUAAAAGCUGCAACAAUUUGCCUUGUCUUGUCAAUUGUUGUUUCCUGGGGAUGGAGCCUUCAUCAUUUGGAUGUACAGAAUGCGUUCCUUCAUGGUGUUCUGGAACAAGAAAUUUACAUGAAACAACCUCCUGGGUUUGAGGAUAAGAAUGCACCAUAUCAUGUAUGCAGACUUGACAAAGCUUUAUAUGGGUUGAAACAAGCUCCUAGAGCGUGGUACUCCCGUCUCAGUCAGAAAUUGCAGGCUCUUGGUUUCGUUCCUUCCAAAUCUGACACCUCAUUGUUCAUUUACAAUAAGUCAAAUACAUCUAUAUUUGUGCUUAUUUAUGUUGAUGAUAUAAUUGUUACUAGCUCAUCCAAUGAGGCCAUACCAGCACUGCUAAAGGAUUUAAAUUCAGAGUUUUUUGCUCUCAAGGAUUUAGGAGACUUGCACUUCUUCCUAGGAAUUGAAGUAAAGAAACAUGAGGAUGGGCUUCAUCUUUCACAGGAAAAGUAUGCAACUGAUCUGGUAAGAAGAGUUGGGUCACAAGGAUGCAAACCGUCACUAACCCUUCUCUCUAGCACUGAAAAAUUGUCUCUCACAGAAGAAGAACUUUUAAGUCAAGAGGAUGGCACAAAAUACAGAAGUCUAGUAGGUGCUCUUCAGUACUUAACUCUCACUAGACCUGAUUUAUCUUUUGUUGUUAACAAGGUAUGCCAGUUUCUUCAUGCACCCACUACAGUUCAUUGGACUGCUGCAAAGCGCAUAGUGAGAUAUGUGAAACAUACUAUGAAUGUUGGUCUGAACUUCACCAAGUCAUCAUCCACACUAGUCAGGGCAUUUUCUGAUUCUGAUUGGGCAGGAUGUGUUGAUGACAGACGUUCUACUGGUGGGUUUGCUAUAUUUUUUGGACCUAACUUAAUAUCAUGGUGUGCAAAGAAACAGGCUACAGUCUCUAGAUCAAGCACAGAGGCAGAAUACAAGGUGUUCGCAAAUGCAACAGCAGAGAUUAUUUAGGUCCAAUCACUGAUGAGAGAACUUGGUGUUAGGAGCACUCAAACUCCAUGCUUAUGGUGUGACAAUCUUGGUGCCACAUACUUGUCUGCAAAUCUGGUUUUUCAUGCUAGAACAAAGCAUAUUGGGAUAGAUUUUCAUUUUGUCAGAGAGAGAGUUGCAAGCAGACAGUUGGAGAUUCAGUUUGUGCAUUCUCGAGAUCAAGUUGCAGAUGGGUUCACCAACGCAUUGCCUACAAAGAAUUUCAAAGAGUUUAAACGUAAUCUCAACUUGACGAAGUUGUGAUUAAGGGAGGAUGUUAAACACUGGAUAUUUGCACACGCAUAACUUGGUUAAGAGGAUCUUUAUAUCUAGGAGGUUAGCUAGUCUGUUAGAAUAGUUGUACGGUUUAACUUGUUGUAAUCCCGUAGCACAACUACCUGCGUCUUAUCUCCUCCUCUCUUGUUCUCCAAGUUGUACUCAACCGAUGUAUGCAUAUCUAGGGUUGGCCCCUGCUAUAUAAACACGCACCCGUCGCCUCUAACGAGGUAAGACGCUUCGAGCAUUCUUCACAGUGCUAAGUGUGUUCAUGAUAGUGUGCAUACUGAAAUUGGUUGUAACUGUAUAGUUACGAGGCAGUGACAUAACAGUAUAUGCAUGUACAGAUUUAGAGUACAUAUGGUCAUAGUAGAGUCUUGGGGACAAUUAUUCUCUUAGUACUAAUAAAUCAGGAGUUGGUUGUUUCUUCAACGGCGUGUCAUAAAUUAUAAUCUACAGCUCAUGUCUUCUGGGAUCAAACUUAGCUUUGAAUUUACAAGGGUAAAGACUUAUGUGGGAAGUACAAACCGUGUCCGGUUUUAACUAGCAUAAAAUUCCCCCUGCAUUACUUCAACGAUUCUUAACAAAGGUUGUUACCCUCGAUUGAACUUGUUGAACUUGUUUGUAAACCUUGGGGAUUGAUAGCAUCCUGGCAUCGAUCAGCACGAGUUGCUCAACUGAACUAAAAUUCCAGAGUGACUUGUGAGCAACAGCAGCAGCAGCAGCAGAGCAGAGCUACUCUCUGUGAUCGAAGCUACCAAACAAGAUCAAGAUUGUAUGGCUUGAAUUAGUAAAUCAGAUUCUCCCAACCCAAAGUAAUAAGAUCCAUAUGGUUCUUAAUUUCCUUGUGAAGAAUCAUCAGGUUAUUUCUUUCAUGGAAAAUGGAAACUUCUCCGAGGGCAGACAUGACAGAGAAAGCAGAAAAAAACACGCAAGGAUAAACUGAAGUAAUGCAAGUGGAUCAUGCUCUAGUAGUUACGGAGUUGCAAAUUAUAUAAAUUUUGCUAUAUGGCCAUUGAAUGAUCACUAAGAUUUCAAAUUGUCCAGUGCAAUUUGCUCUGAACAAGAUGGAUAUAUAAGAGGCUAAGAAGCUGGAUUUUCAUUCAUCGCACACCCUCGUAAUACAGUACCAAUUAGAUGGUCAAAGCAACAUAUUUUCUUGAGAAGAAGAAAAGAGGCGCAAAUUUACAAAUUGCAGCCUACUGACAAAAUGAAGUGCGCAGCACCUUGAUGCUGAAAAAAAAAACUUUUGAGCAAUGAUGGUAGACAUGGUAAAAAAAACAUUUUUUAGCAAUGCUGAAUGGACUACCCACCCUAAACAAAUGGGCCUUCUUACACCUGGGAAAGAAAUGCCACUGGGCCAAGUAGAAGCGCCGUGGGCCCACAGCCCGUCCCACGGCCCUCGUCCAUUCGCACGCCGCACCUUUUCACCGCAGUCCUCACUCUCUCCUCAGAUUCAGAAGCAGCGGCAUCUCCGUCGCCGUCGCCGCCGCCGCCGCGCCUCCACGGAGCUCUGCCCUCGCCUGCACGCCUCUCCUCGAUCCCGGCCUCCGCCUGUCCCCGUGCACGCCCACGAGCCCCUGCCCUGCACUGCGCCUCCCGCCCCCGGGCCCGGUCCUUCCUAGGUAGGUAAGCACGCACCCACCCUGCAUCUCCGACGGUCGAAGGCUCACUAUGCUUUAUUAUGUGCGCGGGUGCCCUUCUGCUAGAUCCAUUUCAAUGUCCGCUAUAAUUGUUGAUAGCAUGAUGAGAGGAAACCAAUUUUCAGCUGUCCAUUGUCUGCUAUAUGCUGCUCGGUUCAGGGCAGGCUCGUGUGUUACAAUCGUUAGUGUCUGAGGCAGUAGCGCAGCAAUAUAUCCAUGUCCACAUUUUAGAUGUAUACUUGGUGAAAGUAGAGGCAGUGCCAUAGCAGUAUAUAUGCAACUACAGAUCUUAGAUCCAUGCUUGCUGAAAGUAGGGACAAUGGCAUAGCAGUAUAUGCUUGUGCGCAUCUUACAUUUAUUAUAGUUGGUGAAAGUAGAGGCAGUGCCAGGAAUUGUUUUCUCAGUGCACCCCGGAGAUUCUGAGCUGAAUGUCGCUUCGCAGUGGUGUGCCGUGCUUCCUAAUCUACGUAGUACCUACGGCUCAUGUCUUCUGAGAUCAGACUUUGCUUUGAAUUUACAUAAGACAUGCAAACCAUGUCUGAAUCUUCACUGGUUGUAAAUAUCAUUGUUCCAAAAUAUCGGCCAGUUAAUCGGCACCUCGGUCAGUUAAUCGCAACUCGGUUGGUCACCGAAUAACCGAUUAAUUGAUUUAUCGGACGAUUAACUGGAAAAUUCACCUAUUUAUCCCUACUCAGCACCCGACCGAUAUGGUACCAGUUACCAAUAUCCUGAAAUUGAAAUAUUAUGACCCUGCAUUACAUCACUAGCUCCUAACGCAUUUUGUUUUUCUGUCUGAUCCUGUUGUAAACAUUGGGGGUUCAUAGCAGCCUGCCUGAGUGUCUCAACUGAAUCAGAAUUUCACAAGUCUUUGUACCUGUUUCCCCUCUCCUCAUCUUACUUUAUACUGAUUCUUCUGCUGGGCCAGCUCCAGAAUGGGUCUCCUCAGCAUCAUCAGAAAAAUCAAGCGCAAGGAAAAGGAGAUGCGGAUUCUCAUGGUGUAAGCGUCCUGCUCCAUUCCUUUUUUGCCUUCUUAUUUUACCCCAGAUUCCUCCUAUCCAAACGGACUAUUAUUCUUGGUUCUUUGGUUGAUAUAUAUGCUUCUUGACUUUCAAGGUUUGUGCCAUUCAGUUCUUUGUUCUUCUUGAUUGAUUUAUUCCACGAUGUCAAAUUUUCAGUGGCCUGGACAACUCGGGUAAGACGACAAUUGUGCUCAAGAUAAAUGGGGAGGACACCAGUGUCAUCAGCCCUACUCUUGGCUUUAAUAUCAAAACCAUCCAAUACCAAAAGUAUGUACUAUAGUCAUUUUUCAUUUAUCAAGUUAAUUAUGCCAGAAAUCAAAAGGUUGUUCCAACUGAUGUUAUACUUGAUCAUUCCAACUCUGUAUUAUGUCUAGCAAAAUGCCAGUUGUAUUAACUAAAGGGUUCUGGGAAAUUCCAUUGUAACUUUUGGUUGAUCAUUCCAAUUUUAAGGUAUAUCUACAGAAUGGCACCUGUAUUAACUAAGGGCGUUCUAAGAGAUUUCAUUGUAAUUUUAGCACAUCCAUAACUAAUUAACUAUGCAUGUGCCACUAGAUAGUACUGCUUGCUAUGCUAGAUCAUGUCUCCUGACUGUUGCAAGUAUGCCAUAGAUUCUGUUAAGUCAAGGGCACCCUAGUCUUUGUAGUUGCAUAAGAUAAUUGGAGGAACAAUCUUGUAAUCUGAGCUUGUUGUUUGGAAGUUUAGUGAUUAAUCAAUACAAUUUCAACAGCUUUAGAUAAUCUGAUACAAAUUACUGCUUGGUGGAGAAAAUUGUUGUGUAGUCCUUCAGCUAAAAUUGACCGAAGGUUGUCCAGUAGUAUUCGAGCUGUGCAGCUAGGUUCUUGGGGAACAGCUAAGAGAGGGAGACGUCCAUAGAUAUGUUUGGGAAUGUUGCGAGUCAUAUUGCUCCACAACCACAAUCAUCAAAGUGUACUUUGGCGUCAAUGUUUUUAUGUGGGAAGAGCAGAGGACACUAUUAAAAUUCAACACUGAUGCAGCACAAUUUUAAUGACUUUUGGUGAUCUGAUCAGAAAAUUGACAAUUUUAGAGACAGAGUAGGACAACUGUGACACCAAAUGGCACAAUCAGAUGAUAUGAUGGUCCAUUUGAGUUUUUUUUUAGGUCCACGUUAGUCAGCAUCUGUUGUUUUUCAGCCAACUAUGAAGCAAGUUGUGCCUAGAUAGGUGGUUGUACUUUUAGCGUUUAAAGUAGGCAAUGCAAUUGAUGAUCUGCUUUAAUCUGAGAAACUAGUAAAUCAUAUUGGUGAAAAUACAACAUAUUUUGGCCCAAAUUUCAGUUAGCGUCUGUUGUUUUUCAGCCUACUAUGAAGCAAGUUGCGCCUACAUCGGUGGUUGUACUUUUAGCAGUCAAAGUAGGCAAUGCAAAUUCUAAUCCGCAUUAAUCUGAGAAACUAGUAAAUCACAUCGGUGAAAAUACUAGAUAUUUUGGCUAAAAAAUUACAGCUGCUUGAUCCCUGAUGCCCAUCACUCAGGAAUCAUGGUGUUCAAAAGCUCAAAAUGCAUUUAGUAGUCAUAGGGAACAGCAGAACAAAUUGCCAACAAAUUGAUAAUGUUGUGAUUGUGGCAGGUACUCGCUGAACAUAUGGGAUGUUGGGGGGCAGAAGACCAUCCGUUCAUACUGGAGGAACUACUUCGAGCAGACUGACGGUCUCGUUUGGGUGGUCGAUAGUUCCGAUGUUCGAAGGCUCGAUGAUUGCCGUGCGGAGCUCCAUAAUCUUCUGAAAGAAGAGGUAAACCGCCUAGUGAAUACCACUGAUCAUCCACUUUAGCGUAAUUCGUCUUGGUUUUUUUGCUUUGAAUAACUUCACUGAAAACUAGCAAAAGAUAAUGUUUGCUGUUUAGCAUCAGGAAACUCUUGGGACUACAAAUUUGGUUACCUAGCAUGUUUGUGCUUAAUUUAUGUGCUAUCUUGUUCAACUAUUGGAGUGAGCCUUCAAAUUUCUGUUGCAGAGACUGGCUGGAUCAUCGUUGUUAGUUUUCGCAAAUAAGCAAGACAUUCAGGGCGCUUUGAAGCCUGACGAAAUCGCCAAGGUAAAACACACUAGUCAAGCAGUAUGUAUAUGGACCCCCAUAUAUUGGUCUAUUAUCUUCGUACCUGGAGCCACAUGAUCAUCUUGUGAUCUUUGCUUUAAGGACAGUCAAAACGGAAAAUAAUCCUAGCAUAUACAUACAAGUUUGUGGUCUUUGCUUCAUGAUGAUUUUAAAAAAAACUAAUAAUUGGCAUGUUGUUUAGUGUUCUUCGAGUUUGAUGGUAACCGGGUGGAGUUUUUGGAUCCAGGUUCUGAAUCUUGAAGUGAUGAACAAGGACCGGCACUGGAAGAUCGUCGGCUGCAGCGCCUACACAGGCGACGGCCUGCUCCAGGGCUUCGACUGGCUGGUCCAGGACAUCGCCUCCCGCAUCUAUGUCCUCGACUGAAACAACAACCAAACUCUGGACAUUUAGCCAUCUGCACUACUGUUAUUGGUUACACCGGCUACCUCAUGUAAUCCGAUCAAGUUUGAACCAAACCAUAGAUGAUGAAACUUUUGUUAUGCACUCUCAUUGAGCUCUGCGUACUGCAAUCGUCAGUUGGUGCGAUCUGUUGCUUAAACAGAAGGUGGAUGAGAUGCACAUCGCAAUGUCUAAAUUUUAUAUUACUCACUGAAAUGGCAGCAAGCUUGGUGCGAUCUGUUGCUUAAACAGAAGGUGGAUGCUUCAGAACAUUUCACUAGAUCUACAAUAUGCUUGCUUGAAGAAAAAGAUAAUGGAUGCUUCAUAACGAAAGAGAGAAAAGAAUAAAAGCAUCAGGACACAUAGGAGGAUAUUUCGCAGCUAUCACUUGCAUUUUCUUCAUCCAUUUAAACUGACUUCAAACAUAGGAUUCCAACAUCACAUCCCAAUCCAUGACAGAAGGGAUUGCUGCAUCACCGACGAACACGACCGACUGAAAGAUAACACAUGUUGUUUCUUCCUCGCGUAACCAGCUCUAAUUAACCCCGGACAGAGCGACACUCGAGCUCGCGAUCAAAAACACCACAGGACCGAACGACACACACGACUCAAGACUGACUGACACAGGAACACGACGACGACGACACUGAAGAUAACUUGCUGACGAAGACGACGAGAUGGUAGAUAGAUCGAUAACUGGAGGGCCCCGCCGCUCAGUUCCUCCACUGGCCGCCGGAGUCGCCGCCGCGCUGGCCGCCGUAGCCGCCACCGCCGCCGCCGUAGCCACCGCCGUAGCCGCCGCCACCACGCUGGCCGCCGUAGCCACCGCCGCCCUGGCCGUAGCCGCCACCGCCGCCCUGGCCGUAGCCGCCGCCGCCCUGGCCGCCGUAGCCGCCACCGCCGCCGCCGUAGCCUCCGCCACCGCCGCGCUGGCCGCCGUAGCCGCCGCCGCCGCCCCCACCGCCGGAGCGGCGGGACUGGGCCUCGUUGACGGUGAUGUUGCGCCCGUCGAGCUCCUUGCCGUUCAUCUCCUCGAUGGCCUGGCGCAUCGACUCCUCGCUGCCGAACGUGACGAAGCCGAACCCACGGGACCUCCCCGUCUCGCGGUCGUUGAUGAUCUGCACGCACGCACAAAACACAAACACCACACCAGAUCCGGUCAGAUCCGCCACACAAACCCCAGAUCGGGUCAGAUCUACAGCCCACGACGCGAAAUUCGAACGGAUCGGCGCAGAUCGGAGACAGGGGUUGGUCGGUCGGUUACCUUGGCGUCGAGGAUCUCGCCGUACUGGCUGAAGGCCUGCUGGAGGUUGUUGUCGUCGGUGGCCCAGGCGAGGCCGCCCACGAAGCAGCGGUACUCCGUCUCCGCCAUGGAUCUCACUUCCUCUCUACCGAAACCCUAGACUAGGCUAGCUACUCGGCCUCUCUCUCGAACCGAACCCGAACCGAACCAGAACCCGAACCGGAAGGGGAGGAGAAGCCAACCCCGA
rnacentral:lncRNA from 1 species